rnacentral:lncRNA from 1 species
UUUUUUUUUUUUUUUUUGUCCAAUAAAAAUAAAAAUAAAAAUAAAAAAACCUCUACAAUUUGCUCCAAUGUAAUUCAUGAACUCAUGCCUAAAAAUCUUUGUAAUAUUCUCAAAAAAUUUUCAUUUUUUUAAUUAAAUGGUUGGUGAAUAUUGAGAUUCUUCUUUCCUUUUCAAUACAUCUCUAAAUUUUAACUCAAAUCAAUUACUUAAAACACAUGUUCUUUUUUUUUUCAAGCUUAUUCAUUCCAUGUGUUUUUGGUUGAGUAUGUUCUGGGUUAAGAAUUUUUACUCUUCUCUUUUGCAUUUUCGUUGCUUGUCAUUUCUGUCGUGUCUAUCCAUAUAAAAAAAUUAGUCAAUGUCAACUAUAAUGAUUGAAAAUAAAUGAAGCAAACGAUUCAUUCUGAUAACUUUGAAUCAAAUGAGCUCCUUUGAAUUACUUGACCGUACAAAAUUGAUCGAGUGGAUUGGUUGAGAUUCCGUGCUCAUCUCGUUCAAGUUAAAGAAAUAUAAAAAUAUCAUCUAUGAACUCAUACUCAUUUUGUGACCUCUCACCAAAAUAAAAUGAUCUCAAUUACAAAAUAUCUAUGGAAAAAAAAAUCAAAUGUAAUGACUUCACUAUUAUGGUAAUGAAAUGAUAUCAUUCAUAUGGGUAUUGGAGGGAUGUCAUUUAAAGGUCAAAAUGUCAUGGGUGAGGGGAAAGGCCAUUGGAAGCUUACCGGGUCAAUUGCUAAAUUGAAUGGUUGAAGGCAAUAUAUUAAAGAAAAAUAAUUGUAAGGAAGGUUAGAUGACUAACCACCGAAACAAUUAGAAUAAUCACAUAUUGUUUCAAAAGCACGUGUUUGCAUGUAGAAUUAAUUAUGCACAAUUAUUUUUUCCUGGGUGCUUAUGCCAAAUCUAAGCCCAUUCAUUAAUUAAAUAUCCCGUGCAAUUUUAAAACUUGGAUAAAUGAUGUGUCAGCUUCAUCAAUGAGUUGUCAGAAUUUCUUUCUUCGGAUUCGUCUCACAAAAAAUAUGAUAAACAGUACUUUUCAAUUGCUGUGACAAAUGACACAGACAUAAACAAUAACUAAGAACCAGUCAUCCUCCCAAAUAACAUGUAUGGAUAAUUGCAACAUUUUUAAAAUAGGUUUUUUUAUUAAUAAUAAUUCUUGAAUUAAUUUUCUUGUGUUCUAGAACAAGGGUUUAUUUAAAAUUUUGAAAUAUGUUCUAGAACAAGGGUUUAUUUAAAAAUUUGAAAUGUGCUCCAUUUGUUUAUUGUAUAUAUUAUCUGAUGCUUCGUUUUGAAUUGUCUUCGGCUUUGUGUGAUUAUUUUGGAUAGUAAUCUUAAAAAAAUAAAUAAAAAUUAAAAAAUCAUUAAAAUAUGUUGUUAUAAAAAACACUUUAUUUCUAGGGUUUCUCAAAAAAUAAACUUUUUUAAAAAAAAAAUCUGAAAUUUGUUAAACAAUCAAUUCAUUAUAUAUAUAUAUAUAUAUAUAAUUUCUAACAGAUAAAGACAGAUGAAAUUUAAAUUUAUAUCGAACAAACUCUGAUAUCAUGUUAAACAAAAAUAUAACACUUCUUUAAUGUUUUUUAUGAAGGGGAUAAACAAAAUUUGAGUUCAUUUCUAACAGAUAAAGACAGAUGAAAUUUAGAUUCAUGUGGAACAAAUUCUGAUACAAUGUUAAACCAUCAAUAUUUCUAAAAAAGUAAGUUUGCAAGAUUUAAGUUGAAUAUGUAUAUCAUGCUUUCUUAACAAAAACAAUUCCAAAUUGAUUCAUAAUUUCUCGUUUCUAGAUUGGUUUGGUGCGUUGUGUUUAGAUUGAAUUAGAUUUUUGGUUAUGAAACUCAUGUAAGCUUUAAACUCCCAAGAGUAUGAACAUGAUUUCAUUACACGUAAAGUUUUUUCUUUCUUUUCAGCAAAGAAAAAUCUUGAAUAGUGGGAAUUGUUGUUGUUGGAGAUUUAUUUUUGACUUUUAAUAUUUUGUUCCCAUUAUGAGCAUUCGAAUUCAAUCAAUGGAUGAACCACUUUGUUACUUUUCCAUAUAAACAUAUUAAAAAAGAGACCGCAUAAUAAACACUCUUUCCUACAUAAUUCUUAUUAAAUUAAUGAAAGCCAAACAAAGAAAAGGUCAGCGGAAACUGUAGAAAUGCAGGGCCCUUCAUGGAUGACUUGUUGAGAAAGGAAAAUUAUGAAGGGAACUUUCCUGGCUAUUACUCAGAGUACAAGUUGUUCAUUCUAAGUAAAUAUAAUUCAAGCACACAAUUCAAAGCAAAAUAUAUGGAAAACUUGGCUUCCACCUACUACACCAAACUCUAGAAAUUAAGUCUACAUUCUGGAAGCUCUGCUUGAUUAUGGUAUGCCCACGGCAAGUCUUUGCAUUUGUAUGAUAAAAAAUGAAUCAUAAAUGGUAAUAUAAUACUAUUAUCACUGAUCUAAUGUUUUUCUUUUGUAAUUGCCAGCUGCCUCUGAAGCGAGCGGCCAAUUAUCAUGAAUACAAAUAGUUUUUGUUCAUUUUUUUUUUUUGAAGAUGAAGAAAAAAAAAAGAAUAUAAAUCACCCAUAUACUGGAGCAAGCUAUAUCCCACUUCUGGAGGAGCUCCUGAUGUUUGGUUGCACGCUGAGUCCUAACUGAAGAUCCAAGGAUUUACAGUUUUGCUUUGAAACGGGCAAGGGGGAAGGCUUGAUGAUGGCAGGCUUGUUCUGUCCGGAUCCAUCAGGAUGUGUGAGAGUGAACAUACAGGUAUCCUGUUGAAGUGGGAGGUUAGCAGGGGGGGCAUACCACUUGGAAAACUGGGACUUCUUGAGAUGAGCAUCUUGAUCAAAUGGAGUGAAACUAAUCUGAGAUUCAUCGUCGGGAGAUUGGCAGGAGGGAUCAUAGAACCAUAGGGCUGAGCCAUGGUAAGUGAAACUAUGGUUGUUCUGCAAGGGCUGAAGAUAAUGGUUGAUACUAGCCUUCCUUGCUUGGAGCUGCAACCUCUUCUUCUUCAUUCUCUCCUUCUUGUGGGCGUUUUGAUGACCCCCCAAUGCCUGCGAGUUUGCAAAUUCCUUGAAACAAUAUUGGCACUCAAACUUCUUGUCCUCUGGCUCUACUGUUGAGUUCUUCUCUAUAGAGGGUUUUUCCCUCCCAGAUGAAUCUGUGUUUGAGGAAUUUACACUUUCAUCUCUUUCCACAGACUCCUUCAGGCAGCUCUCACCUUUCUUAUAUGGAUCAAGCUCAAACCCAAAUAACCUAAGCUUCUUCUCAACGCUGGUUCCGGCAGAAUCCCCAUGUUCUCCAUCUGAUAUGGGAGAAAGGAGGCUAGAACCAUCUUUCUCCAUCCUUGUUGAAAUGAGAAAACAAGUAUAUUUUGCAGUGGUGAUGUACCGCUUUGUUGUUUUGCUUCUCUUCCUUUUAUAGUAAACUAAAUGGGUUGUCGACAUGCAUUGCAUCUCAAAGAAGAAUAGUUUAAUAAUCAUAAACAGCAUAAACGUACCCAAUGGUCAAUUAAAAAGUAGGAGAAGAAAAGUCAGAUGAGGGAAGCUGUUUCAUGCAAUAUUGGCUUAAAAUACAUUUUUUUCCCUUAUUGCAUUAGAUACACUUCAAACUUCCCCAUCGGAGAGGAUUCAGUGUGUUUAAUUAGCAGCGAAUCCAUGGUCCAUAAGCACUUUAAUAAUUCAACAAACAUGCAAUUAUGGUACCACUUGGGCAUUUUAAACAAAUAUUCCGUGCUUAAAGAGGAGAGAAAUGCUACUAUAAUAUCUGAAAUAACAAAAGUCAAUGAAAGGUGGGAUGUAAUCAACUGGAAGGAAGGCGCUCCAACUCUACAACAAAUCUCCCACUGUACUUAAAUGCAUAUUAAAGAUUAUUUAUCUUGACCAUCUAAUGAGCCAGUGGAUUCAUGUUUGUCUUCUACCAGAGCUUAUCAUAUAAUAUUAAACAAAAAAAAGAAAGGAAGCAUAUAAAGAUCAAACUGCGGGUGCCCAGUCCCAUCCACUACAGGGCUCAAAGUAAUGUUUAUAAAAUGUUGAAAACUGUAGGAUUGUGAUUAUUCAGCACCAUGAAGCUUCUUUGUAAUUAUCCCUCCACCCACAGCAAAUAAAAAAAGGGCAUAAAUACGUCUAUCUUGACCAUGUUUUGGGAUAGGAAGGGAGAGUAGUUGUUAAACAAAGGAAUAUAAGAAGUGGGUAAUGAUGUAAGCAUAUAUACUAAUUGAAGGGUCUUCGACCAGAUCUGGGCAUAUCUUCUUAGAGCAGGCAAACCCUAUAUUUUAUUCCCAAAAGCAUAUGUUUAGAGGUGAAUCAAGUCAUCAGCUAAUAUUAUUCACUAAAUAAGCAAAGCAUUUGUGUUGGACAGUUGUUCCAGUUGGACCCCACCUUUGCUACCUUUGGAGACAUGUAAGAAACUAUUAGAUUGUGUUGUUAUUCCAUUGUCUCAAACUAGAUCUUCCAUUGGUGGACUGCUUCCACCAAUAGAUCUCUCAUUCUCAUCAACUCCCACUCCUUUUCUUUUCUUUUCAAUAUAUUCAAAUAGCUUUCUUGCUUUAGGAGAAGAAUUCCAAGUAGGCAUGCUGUCAUCAACCAUUUCACAAUCUUAGCAUGUGGAAUAAAAUGAACCCAUUUCGAGUAGGAUUAGAUUAUGGUGGCCGCUGGGUGGGUGGGUCGGUUGAUUGAUUGAUUUCAUCUCAUUUCGUUUCACUCAGUGAUCCCUGGUAGAUGGAAGAUCAUAAUGUGGCCCCUACCAUCAGCCACCACAAUUCUCUAUCCUCAUCCACUCUAUUUUACCUCUCUUCUGAACAAAUCCAGAAAGAUAAAAUAUUAUAAAACUACAAAGAGUGCCAAAAUUGACCAGGACUACAAUAUUGGCAACAAUAAUUAAAUUUCUUAUUCUAAGUUACUGUCAACAACAGAAAAUUUGGAGAGGGCAUCCUAGGUUGUGUUAUGGGAAGUAUUUAUAGGUUAGCUACCUUUUAUGAUGCAUCUGUGGCAGAGCUUCUUGUGGACAACGGAAGAUAGGUCAGAUGCAUUUCAAGUCUUGUUCAGCAUCAUUUGAUGCCUGCUUCAGCUGCUAAUUACACCUGAGGCCUUCAUCCAUAAAAUUUGCAAUAACUACGUACCUGAAGUGCACAGAAUAUUGCAUUAAAUACAACUGAUAUAAAUAGAUAUAAGAAUAUGACUAUCCACUUGUUCUUCUGCUCACAAAGCUUAUUUCACAUUUCAUGCAGUUCAAUAAUAGGUUAUUGUUUUAGGGAGGUGGGGAGAGAGUUGGUCCUGAAUGUUUUCCAGUUAUGUCAGAGCAGCCAACAAAUGGUGAAACUAACACCCACACAUGGCAAGGCACUGGAAAUUUCAUCUAGGAAAUGGGAACUUUUAAAAAGUGGGGACAUUAUUCAGAACACAAAUGGCAUAACGAUAAGAAAACAAGAAACUUUGUCCUACAGUUUGAUAGGGCUGAUUUUCAAAGAAAAAAAUGAGACUAUACCCUGGUAUUUCCAUUCCAAAAUCAUAAUGAUUAUUUUAAAAAAAAUAUAAGCACAUGCCAAGCCAACCAACAUGGGAAAGAUACAGCAGUACAAGAUUGACCUAACCAAAAUUCAAGCUAACCCACUGUCGGGAAAUAAAAGCCAAAAUCAGAAAGGUUUGUUUUCCCAUAUUUACUCUUCCUUUUCUCUUUCCAAUCUUUGCAAAUCUCAACAACAGAAGUAUGUUUUGAAAAUCACCACUUUAUGCAAUAGGUAAGACUAAACGGCCCCUAAAUAUUUUUGUGAUUUGCAACUGAAAGAGCCAUGACUCACAUGAGCUCAAGGAUAUAAUCAAAUUGUCAAGGUGAAGCGUGGAUAUAUGCUGUUACCAUCAGAAUUUAAUAAGAAAACUAGAAUAUGGCAUUAUGACAACAAACAAGUUGCUUUGUUGAUUCCAAACUUAGUUUGCCAACUCCAUUGGGAAUUUUUUGGUGUGAAACAACACCAUAACAUAUCUCAGAAGCACUUAAAAGAUCGAUGACAUUUGAAGAUUACAAUAUUGCAAUUCUAUUUAUUAUCUACUUCAACGCAAAACUUGAGGCCAUGAAAAGAAGCAUGCCUUAGGCUGCUGUUUAUUUUUUUAUUUAUUGUGUCCCUCUAUCGUUCCCUUGUUCUUCAAGUAGCAGCAUGCUCACGCAUGUCUUUCACAUAUGAGGCAAGUGGUAGCCCAGUCUCAAACCAUUAUACUCAUGCUUCUUUACUCUGUAAUUGGUUUUGCACUUUGUCUACAUUAUUAAGGAGCAAUCAUGGAUAUAAAGCAAGUGCUUUUGGGGCAACUUGUGUAAGGGAUACCCAAUGUGGCUACAAUUAGAAAACUUAUCAACAUGAUUUCCAGCUGCAUAAAUAUAUAUUCUAUUCUUCUCCUUUUCCCUAAAAGCAUUGCCUUUUUGGAUGAAUAUCUGCUCGUACAAAGCACAAUUCAUCUUGGAUGAGCUAGCGGGGCAGCAAUUCAAAAGUCCAUGACUUUUCAUUGUCUAAUGAGAAUGGAAAGGGUCCAUGAGAAAAUAUCAUGAAUUUUAAAGUACAAAAAACCUCAUCCUUCUACAAUGCUUUUAGAGCUACACUGUUGAAAUUCAAGAAAAAUUGAAAUCAAAUUGUUGUGAAAAUGCUGACUCAAAUGAGAAUCAAUUCCCCACAAUGCAAUGGUAAGGCAGAGGGAGUACUCUCAGAAACGAGUAAUUCAAGGCUGACCAUCAGGAAUUUGGCAUCUCUAGGAUCACAGCUUUCACAAUCUGGUGAGGACAGAGCUUGACACUGCUCAUUGGACAAGUGAAUGACACAGUAGAGGGGCAACAGUGUAUAAAAGCAGGCGGGAACGAGCCCAAGCAGUGAAGAGAAGAGGUCCACUAUGGCAACCAUAUGGCUACGUCCUACUAGAAUCCCUUCAAUAAUGCCCACAACCAGAAGAAAUCCAUGAGGCUUUGGCAGCAAUACCAAUUGACACAUGACUGAGAUCCAAAUGAAUUCCCUGAAUGGCUGCCACCUCCCAAAUAUUCAAUACAGAUAGACUCCCAAAGUUGUUCGGAAAUUCAUUUUUCUAUCUAUUUUUCACACCUGAUGUAAAAUCAUCCACCUAUCCAGUUGGUUAAAUUUUCUAGUGUCAAAACUAUGCCAGAUUAGGAAUCUCCUACACAGAUAACAAAGAUUAUCUGCACAAAUUGAUAUACUUGUUUCUAGAUAAGGACUUCGGAUCCGGGAGUUACUGGCCAAGGGUGGUACCAAAGGCCAAAAACUAGAUGCUCUGGAAGAGAGAUGCCAAAGAGAGGCCAUUUCCCCAUUUUCCUCGGGCAUUAAACAGUGACAAAAAAGAGAGGAAGAACUAAAGAAAGAAAAUUUGACAUCCUUGACGUAAAGAAAUUUCUUUUCUUAGUGCGAAAAAUUUCUCCCUGAAAAUGCAUUUAUUGAGAAAUAGUACUUGUUCAGAGUAUAAAUCGGAUAAGAGUCAUGAACUCUAAUCCCUGAAACUAGUAGAGCAUGUGAAAUUUAUGAUAAAAUGAGUUGUGAUUUGCGGGGUCCAUUACCCACUCUCACACUUUCCUACUUCCACUCCUGUAAUGCCUUAGUGGAUGAUAUCACAAGUAGCAUCUGGUUUUAUCAACACAAGCACAAAGCGCCUUUUGUGACUAUCCAGAAGUCAUUAGAGUUGUCUUGGAAAACAGAAGCAAAGUCAGUCUGGUAACCAUCCAAAUAAAGCUAAGGGUCCCAUUAAUGCUUUCUAUGCUAGUACAAAUGGAUGAAACUUUCACCGAAAACACUUUCCUAUCUUUAAAGCAAGAUCACAGAUUUGAAAUUUUCAUACUACUCAAUUACAUCCACAUCACUAAUUAAAGCAAUCUAAAUGAAUAAUCAUAAUCUGACGAAAGCAACACCAGAUUCACAAAUUUUUGGCAUAAGAAUCUUAGAAUUUCAAGGAUUGGAGACCGAAAGCAGAACUCACGAAAAGAUUUACGGAUGUCAACGAAUUAACGCAUCCUGCAUAAAAAUUCAGCGAAAAUCGUAUGCUUCUCCCUUCUCCAAUCUUGCUUUGAGAUCUCUACCCUCCGUUUGGUUUCUGAGAAAAUCAAACAAAAGGAAGAACAAUUUUUGGAUCUUUAUGCUGUGUUGAAAAAAAUGAAAUCUGAAAAUUGGAUUCCCCAAUCCGGUUUCUGGAACGCUCAAAUGAACGUUUAAGAAGCAACAAAAAUAAAAAAAAAAUACUUUCAAAAUAGUGUUUAACAUUCAAAUAUUCUUUCCUAGCUCACGAUCCUGGAUGGUCAUUGGUAAAAAGUGAAUGAUGUAAGAGUAAAGCGUUAAAAGUGAUAAUAGAAAAGGAAAAAAAUGAUUAUGCAAAUCUUAUGGUUAGAUUGGAAUCCACUUUUCUAGUUGGGCCCUGCUUUAUUCUUAACAUGAGACUACAAAAUGUGGGCGAUCAAGAGGUAUGAAACUUUAACCGUUACAUCACCUUUGAGAUGUGAACUACAUCAUCAUCUGAUCCUGGCAAAAAUCCAAGUUAAAAACGAGCAUCACAAUGUUCAUGGAUCACGCCCACAGUAGUUUGAGCAGUUGGAGAGUGGAUUCUGUGUCUACACUCCUCAAGAGACUGUAAACGAAGAGGCAUUUUAACAAACAUAAAUAAAACCUCUUUUCCACUUGUUCAGUUUCCACGAUAUUCUCUCUUCCAAGUGAAAUGUGAAAGAAGUAUAAAAUUAUUGAGUGGAAAAAAAGCAUCAUACAUUGCAAAAUUUCUUACCCUCGUAUUAAUAUACGAAUCAAUGAAGUUAUUCUUGACUGCAAAAAUGUGACAACUGGUUCAUAGGUUGCCUACCCCAAUUUAAUAAGAUUACAGAGUAUAAAUUUAAUGCUAAAGAUUCUUGAAUAUGUGCUUUCCAUCAAAAAAUAAGAACUACUGCUCCUAAAAUUUAUGGGCUUGUGAAGUACACGGGUCACAAUUGCUGCUUGGAACACGACAAGACAGCGAGAAGAAUCUUCUUCCUAGGCCCCUGCAAUUCAAGUAACUUUAAUAAGAAGCAAAAAAAGAAAUAAUUUGAGGUCUGAUCAUGGGAGGGAAAGAGAGAUUGUAGAUGGAUGACAAAGGCUAACUGAAGUACUUAUAGGGCCCUUUCAAGCAUCAUUACCUUCAUUUGUGGUGCAAAAGAUGACAAAAUAAAGGGCAAAACAAGAAGAAAAACUAAAGAACCAGCUGAAAAAAACACUAGGAAGAAAUAAAUCAAUUAAUAGAAAGUAUGCCUACGGCUCGACGAUAUAACAUUGGAACUCUCAGGAAUCAGGACUACUGUUAGUGUGGACACACUUAAAACGGUUAUUUGUUAGAGUUGAAACAGCAUAAACUUAUAUUACACAUAUUUUCAAAAGAAUCAUGACAGGGAGUUGGGAGGUCCUGUAAAAAUGCAACCCUUGCAAUUAUAACAAAUCCAUCCCCUUAGAAUUGAUGCAUUACAGAGCAAAAAGGAAUUUGGAGAAACAUUUAUGCAUCAAAGAAAUUAAGGUUAACAAAGUAACAUGGACCCAUUCCAAAUACUGCCAUAGGAAAACUGCAGUUUUAUUGGCAGUUCAAACUCUUUGCCUUAGGAAGCAAAAUGGUAUGAAAAAGGAUUUUUGUUUCAUAGAGAUUCUAUGAAAUCCUCCUGGAAGUUGUGCAAGAUAGGAAAAGGUUAAGUUCACUGAUUGUUUAACCAAUUCUGGUACUGAAGGCCACUUCUACACCUUAACUAGGAUUAAAAUAAUGAACUGAAUUUCCAAAAUAACCAAAUUACAUGGCACACAGUCUUUAUUCCGACUAAAUUUGGAAAAAGAAAAGUCUUGUUAUUCAUUACACAGUGGUCAGGGACAUUUUCAUCACAUAAUGCAGCAUGAAUAGCCAUAUCACAGGCUUCAAGGCUUCAAAUGAAGCAAUGCACUUCCAACAACAAAAGCCCCCAAACAAAUGGCACUUGUUCUUUUGUAAGGGUAAGAAAGACAUGGCACUGCAUUUUAAUGGGCAGGCAAGAAAGUGGAGGAAUCUGGUAAAGUGGAAAUUAGCAAUUGAUGUUGCCUGAAAAUAGAUUUGCAAGACAAAUGAGAGAGAGAGGAAAAGUAGAAUAAAAGAAACAACUGAAAAUACCAUUGGAAUUCCCAACUCUUUAAGGUCAUGCUCCCCCAUCUGCUUCAGUGCAGCCAUGUCCACCUGCAGAAUGGAUCAAACAUGUUAGCUAUUGGUUGAAAUUACACAGGGAAAAGAAUUCCAUAUUUUAGAAAACAUUCUAUUUUUCAGUUGGUGAACAUUGCCUGCACAUGCAAAAAAGAAAAGUAAAAUGAAAAGGAAAGCAACACAAGGAAUAGUCAUAAAAAAAAGAAAAAAAAAAAGGCAUCCAACAGUUUCAUCUUAUUUUCACUCCUUUUCAUAGGAAGACCCUGUUUCAUCAAACUGCAUAAAUUUUUUUGCCUCAGAAAAACCCAAGCUUGAACGAAAAUUGGUACAGAAUUCGUCACAAUGGUUCCACCCUCACUCAAAGAGCAUUUAAUAGAAUGUGACAGAAGUUACAUACUUCCUCGGCCUUAAAAUAAAUGGCAUAUUUUCCCAGACCCAGAGAAUGUAACAAGCUGUCAACAGUAGGCUGUUCAUCACCCUACAUUAUAAACAACCAAAAGAAAAGGUGCUCAGCAGAUGCAUGUACAAAAACAAUAUUAGGAAUAGAUACAAAACAUCAAAAUAAACUCCUAAAGCUAAAUUGAACUCUACUGCAGUAAAUAACUGUGAAAGGACAGAGCUCCACUAAUUAUGCUUUUAGCAGAAUUAUUAAAGCAAUUACGAGCAAAAGCAAGAAAGCAUACAACUUCCCAUAACUGUAGCAGACAUGAAGUUAAAGUGAAACAAGUUGAUUUACAUAUAUGAUUUUCUUGCAGAGCAUCAUAAAUUUCAGCCUCGAAAUUAAUUGGAGCAAGAAAAACUUGUUAGAUACAAAGACUCUAACCAAAACUUCAUAAUUGCAUUCUCACUUUGUAACCACAUUCCCUUUUUGUAUACAAUAAAUUUUAAGGAUCUGUCUAUCAGAAAUAAAGAACUUCAAAUAUCAUAAGUACAUAUGAUGAAGCUAUUUAUAUGCAAUAUAAGAUAUCUUUUUCUGAACCUUUAAAAGAUGAAUAUGAUAACAGAAAAAAAAAAAAAAAAAAGAUUUAGUAUAUUAGGAAAUAAGAUAAGCAACAAAAUGAACUAAUUAAAAUAUGUGGAAGGUGAACAUUAAAAUUAGCUCCCAGGCAAUACAAUGUUGCAGGGUAAGUACAAAGAGAAAAAUAUUGAAGUCCAAAGGUAAGUGGCUUGUACUAAGUAUGAAUUUUUCUGUACAAUGUUGCUUGAUGGUUGGAGGUGGGCUUGCAUUGGUGCUACAGGUUUUGCAUGGCCAGUCGGUAGUGUAGAUUUUGUCAUAAAAGGUGUAGUGCCCAUACGUCUUGGAGGAUCAAGAAUAUUAUUGAUUAUAAAUGGAGCUGAUCUAACAUCGUCAUAUUUCUGGAUUAUUGGCCUUUUCUGUAGUUUUGGAACAUUCAUCUGUGGGGAGAGACUCCCAGUAGAACCAAAAAUUCCAUCUGGGUAUCUUUGCUUUAAUUGAUCCAAAGACCAAGCAGAAUAAGAAUUUCUGGGCAAAUUGAUCUGUGGUGAAUCUUCUGCACUUCUUCUGGAAGGAAGUUGACCCCAUGGGUUAGUCUCCUUUGUCUCAGGUCUGGGCUUCUGCAUAUCAACACUAGUUUCUGCAUGCUUAACUGUCCUUGACAGCUUUUCACGAAGGUCCAUGCCAUUCAGCAGAUCAUUGGUUUGAGCUCGGAAAGACAUGCUUUUUUCCAUGAUUUUGAACCGGAGAUCAUCUUUACCAAUGCGCUUCCCUUUAGCUAUCCAAAGGAACCAAGGUUAAUAAAAAGAAAAAUUGGAAAAAUACAGAAUCACAGUGAUAUUUCAAUGGCUUGGAAUAUUUAUAUCAAGAAAGUCAUUACCAUUAACACCAUUAGAACUCAAAUGUAAUUUGUUACGAUCUCCUCGUUGUCUGCCAAGAGAUUAUAUACAACCAGAAACAUUAACUAUAGAACAAAAGUUCCCAUUCCAUAUUUAAAAAAAAUGAAUAGACAAAUAAAUAAAUGAAGAAUCUAAACAAAAAACCAGUGAAAUAUUUGUUUGUCCGGAAGGGUCUAUUGCUGCAACCCAAUUAGUAAAGACAGGUGUAAGAUGACUCUAGAUUUUAACAAGUUUGUUGUUAUUUAGCAUGGUCACAAGCUUAGUCCAUCCUGGAUUAGGUAACCAGUUGACUGUUUAAUGAUGUGAUACUGAUGCCUGUAAUGGAACACACAUGUUGGGAUAUCUGAAUGCUGCUAUAGUGUCCGUAGAAAGUAAAUAACAGAGAAAGAAAAAAGUCAGACCAAACAACACAAAUUUAAAACCUAGUUCAAGAUAAACAUUAGAAAAAAAAAAAAAAAAAUCAGAUGGAACGAGAAACACACCGUUUAUUGUUGAGUGGGUUUUCAUGCAUCAAAGAAUCCACAUUACUCCCUAAUCGAUCCUUCACAGACCUCUUACUUCCAGUGGCCGGGGGAGAUUCCAAAAAUGCACCAUCCAUCAUAGGUCCUGCCCUCUUUACCACCUGCAAAUGGGUCCAAAGUGGAUGCACUUCUAAAUAGAGUAUUUACUCCAGUAAUUCAUUGGGACCGUUUGGCUACUGAGAGAAUGAAAACAAGAGAAAAUCUAAAUAUUAUGUUUCAUGACGCUUUGAUUUCCCAAGACGAAAAAACCCGACUUGGUUAAGCUAAACGGUCGCAUUAACCUCACCUGAAAUAACACUUUAGUUUCCCCAAAAAUCAAAAAUUAAAAACACUCAAAAUAUUCCCUUUUUUUUGCUAUUUUUCCUCAAUGGAGCACAAGCAUUCAAAUGUUCAUGGAUUCAAGCAGACAGGCAGUGAUAAACUCAGAAGAAAACCUCAUAACCAAUUUGAAGAAACCGAAAACAAAAAACAAAAAACAAAUAAAAAUAAUAAUAAAAAUUUUAAAAAUUAUCAAAAUAAACAAAGAAGAUUAAGAGAAGAAAUACCUGACCAGUAGAGCCAAGGGUGAUGGUGACUUGAGACCUCGAGGCUUCUGCCAUAUGAAGUUGGAUGGAGUUCCAGAAGAAACCCUAGGAUCAGCUCUGAGUAGAUAGAAACAUGAUCUGAGACGUAGCGUUUUGGAAUUGUAAAAACAAAACCUAAUUAGGAAAACCCCCAACUACAUUAAAGUUAAACAAACAAGGAAAUUUCAAUCAAUCGGGGGCAUCUAAUUACCGGGACACUCUUCAGUCUUCACAGUCUAUUGGAAUUGGAACUUUGCAAGGCCGUAUGAUACUACUAUUCAUCUAAUGGAUUGCUCACACUACAUUUUAUUUUUAAUUUUUUAGUUAAAAAAUAAUAAUAAUAACGGUUACAUAAAAAAUACAAAUUAAAUUCAUUAAUGUUAUUAAAAUGCCACCACAUUAAUUAUAAUAAAUAUUAAUUAAAUAUUAUUUAUGAUUUUUAUUAAUACUUAUUAAUGGAAAUCAUUAAUGUUAUUUAUGAGUUCCAUUAAUAUUCAUUAAUGAAAAUAUUAAUGGAAGCUAUUUGGAAAGCUUAUAAAAAAGUUUUCCAUUCGCUAUAAUAUGCAUCUCUAAACAAGAAAGAAAAUUCUUACUUUUUCUCAUUCUUUUUGUUUUUCAUUCUCUCAACUUUCUCAAUUCUCUUUUGUGACUUCUUUUUCCCUAUUAUAUAUUAUUAUCAAAGUUAUAUAUAAUUUAUCUCUACUAUAUUUGUGCUGCAUUUAUCCUUGUUUUACAACACGUUAUUAGUAUGAAUUGCUUUGAAGGUGAUUCUCGUAUCUUAAACUUAAAGUUAUUUAUAUAGAAUAAAAUUUUAUAUAUUUAUAUUAUUGUUGAUUUGUUUUGUUACAUAUUGUUAAAAAUUAUAAACAAAUUAUUUGAUUUUGUUUAUAAUAAAAGUUAUACCAAUGCUAUCAAUUUAUUAUAACCGAUUCUGAUAAUAUUGUUUUAUCUUGGAUCACUGAUGCUAAAAUACAUCUUGAUGUAAUGAAUCUUGGAGCUAUAAUCAAAGAAGGAAAUCAAGCAUCCCUACAGGAUCGUACAAAAACACUAAUUUUCCUUCGUCAUUAUCUCUAUGAAGGUUUAAAAAAAAAAAAAAAAUUGAUGACAAAUCACCAGUCUCGUCCAACUAGAUUUGAAUCAUUCUCGAAAGUGAAUGCAAUAUUGUCCCAAACUCAUAGAUGAGGACGUGUCGUGGUUGUGGAAGAAAUCCCUAAUACCAUGGUUCUUAUGGUAAUAAUUCAUCAAAUUUUCAAAAAAGGAAAGCCUCAUUGCACCACUAGAAGUGAAACAAUACUGAGGCAAAACAAGAAAAUGAAAAGUAUUUACAAGAUAAACCUCCUAAGAACCAUGAGAAUAAUUAUUAUAGAUGUGGUAUGAAGGGGCAUUGGUUACGUGCCUGUCGUACGCCCAAACAUUUGGUCGACCUUUACUAAGCACCAAUAAAAGCAAAAGGAAAAUAAAUCGAGAUGAACUUUACCGAUGGUGAUGGAUUGGACCUAACCUACUACGACAUUGAUUUCUUUGGAGGUCCUAGUGAAAAAACAGACCAUUUAAUAAAUGAUGAGAAUAUUAACAUUGAUUAAUGAUACUUUAUAUAUAAAAUAAUAUAGUAUUAUGUCUUGUAUUUACAUCUUAUUUUCUUUUGUUAUUUACAUUAUGUCUUGUUUUUUUUUUUUUUAGUUAUAUCUAAAAUCCAUGUGUUAUUUGGUCUCAAAAUGAAUGAAGAUAAUGUAUGUCUCACGGACUGUGUAAUUAUGCAAACAAUUCUUCUAGAUAAAAGAAAUUUUCUCGAAUUGACAUUAAUAAAAGCUAAUGCAAGUACCAUAUAUGGUACUACAAACUUAGUUGAAGGCUCUAGAAGAGCAAACAUAACGCUACCAAAUGGAACUAGAUUCCAUAUAAAUGACGCUUUAUAUUCUAGAAAAUUAAGAAGAAAUUUGCUCAAUUUUAAAGAUAUCCGUAGAAAUUGGUAUCAUAUUGAAACUAUGAAUGAAGAUAAUGUAGAAUAUCUUUACAUUACUUCCAUUAUAUUUGACUAGAAGCUUAUAAUGGAAAAACUCUCAGCUUUCUCUUCUAGGUUGUGUCAUCCAACUAUAAAGCCUAUUGAAUCAUAUGUUGUUGUGAACCGGAAUUUCAAUGACCCAAAAGUUUUUGUCCUUCGACAUGACAGACUAGGUCACCCAGGGUCUUCAAUGAUGCUUCGAAUAAUCGAACACUCACAUGGGCAUCAACUAAAGAACCAGAAGAUUCUUUUUCCCAGUGAAUACUCUUGUGUUAUUUGCUCACAAGGCAAAUUGAUAGUCAGACCAUCUUUUACUAAAGUCAUAUCUAAGUCACCAUUCUUUUUAGAAAGAAUACAUAGGGACAUAUGUGAAUCUAUCCAUCCACCAUGUGGACCAUUCCAUUAUUUUAUGAUCUUAAUAGAUGCUUCUAUUAGGUGGCCACAUGUUUGUCUCCUUUUUACACAUAACGUUGCCUUUACUAAACUUCUUACACAAAUAAUCAGAUUAUAAGCACAAUUUCUAGGUUAUCUAGUUAAGACAAUACGUCUUGAUAAUGCUGGCAACUUCUCAUACAUUGAUUGACUAUUGCAUGUCAGUAGGGAUAAAUAUUGAGCAUCCUAUUGCUCAUACUCAUACCCAAAAUGGUUUAGCAAAAUCCUUCAUCAAACAUCUCCAAUUAAUAGCUCGACCAUUACUAAUGAAAACCAAAUUAUUUACUUCCGUCUGGAGACAUGCUAUUAUGCAUGCUGCAGCUUUAGUCUGUAUGCAACCUACAACUUACCAUGAAUACUCCAUUUCACAACUUGUGCUUGGAAAACAGCCAAAUGUAUUUCACUUACGAAUAUUUGGUUGUGCAGUAUAUGUACCAAUUGCACCUACACAAUGCACUAAAAUGGGUCCCCAACGAAGACUUGAGAUUUAUGUAGGUUUUGAUUCUCCAUCUAUCAUAAGAUAUCUUAAACCUUUGACAGACAAUGUUUUUACAGUCCGCUUUGCGGAUUAUCAUUUUAGUGAGAGUGUUUUUCCAUCAUUAGGGGGAGAAAAGUUGAUUCUUGAAGAACGACGAGAAAUUAGUUGGAAGACAUCUACUAUUACCCAUCUUGAUCCUCGUACAAAUCAAUGUGAAUUAGAAGUUCAAAGGAUCAUUCAUUUGCAAAAUCUUGCAAAUCAAUUACUAGAUGCAUUCAUUGAUACAAAGAAAAAGACAAAGUCAUAUAUCCCGACUGCAAAUACUCCAACACGGAUUGAUGUCAAUGUAGGACAGUUAACAAAUGAAUCUAAGAUACACCUAAAGCAUGGUAUACCUGUCAGCUCAAAGGAUGUAACUCCUCGAAAGAAGAGAACCCAAGAAAAACUUGGCACUCUAAAAGAGGCCAUCAAAAUGAUUGAUCAAUUUAAAAUUGAUAAAUCUAUAUCCUUAGUAGAGGCAAAAAUAAUGCAAAAAGCCCCUAAAGAGGCACAUAUUGAACGAGAAGCCCUUGAAGAGGCACAAGUACUUGAAAAUUGUGAGAUCUCAAUAAGUUAUGUACAUACAGGAGAAAAAUGGGAUCGAAAUAAUAUUAUUGUUAACAAUAUUUUCGCUUUCCAAGUGACCUUCGAUAUCAUAAGAAAUGAUGAAGAUCUAGAACCACGAAAUGUGGAAGAAUGCCAACAUAGAAAUGAUUGGCCAAAAUGGAAAGAAGUCAUGCAGGUAGAGUUAAACUCAUUAACAAAACAAGAAGUUUUUGGACCUAUAGUCCAAACACCUGAAGAUGUAAAGCCUAUUAGGUACAAAUGGGUAUUUGUACGAAAGCGCAAUGAGAAUAAUGAGAUCAUAAGAUAUAAAGUGCAAUUAGUAGCACAUGGUUUCUCGUAGAGACUUGGUAUUGACUACGAGGAAACAUACUCUCCCGCCAUGGAUGCAAUCACAUUUCGUUUUUAAUUAGUUUGGCAGUCUCAGAAGGAUUGGAUAUGCGUCUCAUGGAUGUUAUUAUAGCAUAUUUAUACGGAUCCAUGGAUAAUGAUAUAUACAUGAAAAUCCCUGAAGGAUUUAAAUUGCUUGAAACAAAUAGUAUAAAGCCUUGUAACUUGUACUCAAUCAAGUUACAAUGAUCUUUGUAUGGAUUAAAGCAAUAUGAACGCAUGUGGUACAAUCGCCUUAGCGAAUACUUGCUAAAAAAGGGUAUAUGAAUAACCUUAUAUGCCCAUACAUCUUCAUUAAGAAAUCAGAAACCGGAUUUGCAAUUAUUGCAAUGUAUGUUGAUUACUUAAAUCUUGUUGGAACUCUUAAAGAACUCACAAGAACAACAUAUUACUUGAAAAAAAAAUUUGAGAUGAAAGAUCUUAGAAAAACAAAAUUUUGUCUUGGCUUGCAAAUUGAGCAUUUCCCAAAUGGAGUUUUAGUACAUCAAUCAACAUAUAUUAAGAAAGUUUUGAACCAUUUUUAUAUGGAUAAAGUGCAUCCUUUAAGUUCUCCAAUGGUUGUCCAAUCACUUGAUGUGAAAAAAGACUCAUUUCAUCCUUACGAAAAAAAUGAAGAAUUAUUUGGUCCCAAAGUACCAUAUAUUAGUGUUAUUGAUGCACUUAUGUAUCUUGCCAAUUGUAUUCGUCCAAACAUUGCUUUUUCUAUUAAUUUAUUAGCAAGAAAUAGUUCCGCUCCAACUCAAAGACAUUGGAAUAGUAUCAGACAUAUAUUGCGAUAUCUUCGCGGAACUACUAAUAUGAGUCUAUUUUACUCAAGAGAAUCAAAGCAACAAUUGCUUGGAUAUGUAGAUACAGGACAUCUUUCAAAUCCACAUAAAGGUAGGUCACAAACAGGGUAUGUGUUUAAUUGCAAUGGUACUACUAUUUCAUAGAAAUAUGUCAAACAAACAAUGGUGGUCACAUCGUCAAAUCAUUCAGAAAUAAUGGCAAUUCAUGAAGCAAGUCAUGAAUGUAUAUGACUAAGAUCUAUGAUCCAACAUAUUCGGGAAUCAUGUGGACUCUCUUCUAUCAAAGGUGACCCGACAAUAUUAUUUGAAGAUAAUAUUGCAUGCAUUACACAAAUAACAGAGGGUCAUAUUAAAGGAAAUAAAACUAAACACAUUUCACCAAAAUUCUUUUAUACAUAUGAACUCCAGAAAAGUUGUGAAAUUGAUAUGCAACAAAUACACUCAAGUGAUAAUCUAGCAGAUUUAUUUACAAAAUCAUUGUCAACCUGAACAUUCAAGAAGUUAAUAUACAAGAUUGUAAUGCGUUAACUCAAGGAUAUCGAUAUGAGGAGGAGUAUACUUGUAAAAGGGUGUUAGUGUACUGUACUCUUUUUUCUUUCGUUCAAGUUUUGUCCUACUAUGUUUUACUAACAAGGUUUUUAACGAGGCAGUUCUAACAUACCAAGAGCAACUUAAAGAAUUAUAAGAAUAAUGUACUUUUUUUCCUUCUCUAGGUUUUUCCCAUAGGGUUUUUUACUAGCAAGGUUUUAAUGAGACAUAUUCUUCAAUGUGGUGGACAUCCAAUGGGAAGUGUUAUAACUGAAGUAAUGAAUGCCACUACAUUAAUUAUAAUAAAUGUUAAUUAAAUAUUAUUUAUGAUUUUCAUUAAUACUCAUUAAUGGAAACCAUUAAUGUUAUUUAUGAGUUCCAUUAAUAUUCAUUAAUGGGAAUAUUAAUGGAAGUCAUUCGUAAAGCCUAUAAAAAGACUUCUCAUCCCCUGUAAUAUGCAUCCCUAAGUAAGAAAGAAAUUUCAUACUUUCUCUCAUUCUCUCUGUCUUUCAUUCUCUCAAUUUUCUCAAUUCUCUUUUGUGAUUUCUUCUUCCCUAUUAUAUAUUAUUAUCAAAGUAAUAUAUAAUUUAUCUCUACUACUUUAUUUGCAUUGCAUUUAUCCUUGUCUUACAACAAUUAAAACAAUUUAAAAUAUUAUAAUUUUUAAAAACAGAAUAUUAAAAGGGUUUCAUAAUAUGCAAUUUUAAAAAUAAUUUUUAAUAAUAUAAAGUGAAUUUAAAUUUUUAUAUAAAAAUCACUAUAUAUAAAAUAUAGAAGUUAUUACUAAUUUGUAUUUUAAAAAACAAAAAAAUGUAUGGAAUGAGCAUGUAGACAUUAAUAUUUUUUAGUGAAUUAAAUUAUCACUAAAUUGAUCUUAAACAAUUGUGACUUCUCAAUUCAAUAAAAUUUGGGCUUGACAAGUGAUGAGUCAUGCACAGACACAUAUCAUAUAUUCAAAAUGUGACACGUGACGAAAUUUCUUAAAAAAUUUAAAUUAAUUAAAGUUAUCAAAUUAGUUUGAUUUUCCGAAAUUUGAUUUAUAUAUAUAUAUAUAUAUAUAUAUAUAUAUAUAUAUAUAAUACAAAUAAAAUUCUAGACUUAAACUCUGUCAUCAUUGCUUCAUUUUGAACUAGUAACUAAUAUUUUUGAGAAAUUAUAGGUGGAUCCACCUAAUUAUUUUUCACAUCUCUUUACAAUUGUGAUUUUUUUUGGGACAUAAAUUUUUCUUAGUAAAAAUAUCAAAAUACCCUUAAAGUUCAAUACACACUCAUCUUCCUAUUUUUCUUCCUCCAUUUCUUCUCUUCCAAUCUCUUCGAGACCUAACUAAGUUUUUGAAGAAAGUUAUGUUUUUUGAAUAAUUGAUAGAUAAACAAUCAUCUCUGAAGAUGUUAAAAGUGUAUUUUUAUCAUUUUCUUUUUUAGUUUUCCUCUUUUUCCAAGUUUGAAAAAAGGGGAUCAAAAAGUGUUCGACAUUAUACCUUUAAACAUCCCUUUGGUAUUCUACCUUUUAGAUUUGAACACCAUGUAACAUUUUUUUUCUUCAAUUUUCUUUCAUUUUUUCAAAUAUUUUCACUUCUAAAUUAUUCCUAAUUUAUUUAUUUAUUUUUGUGACAAAUAUUUGUCAAAAGUUACGUAAAUAAUAAGUUCUAAAUUAUAUUCAUGUGGAACAAACAAAAUAUUGGUGUAUGGUUAAAAAAAUGCAUAAAGAUGUUGGAAUUAAUUUGAAACCUAGCUCAAAUAUCUUUUUGUGGACAAACAAGCUUGGGAGAAGAAGCUGUUACAUUAAAGUUUGUUGAGAAGAAUAAAAAUGAGAGAUGAAGGAAAAGGGUAUUUUUGGUAUAUUAGUGAUAUGUAAGUGUAUGAAUUAAUAAGAUCCAUAUUUUAAGAUGGAAUUAUAAAUAGGGUCGAUGUAUAAAGAUAUUUGUUAGACGCAUAUAUAUUCUUUCAAUACUUUUCUCUAACUCUGAAUUUAAAAGAAAAUAGUCAUUCUUGUAUCCAUUUCUAAUUGUUUGCCAAUUUUUCCUUUGAAUAUUAGGUGUAAAAAUGUCAAUAUUUAUUCUAUCUCAGGAGUGGCUUUAGAAUAUCUAAUGGAUGAAUCGAUCUAAUUGAAACUUAUAAACAAGCAUAAUUUAAUUUAAAAUAGUUUUAUCUUUUUCUCUUAGCAUUGAAAAUCAAUUCACAUGAACAAAAGAGUAGAAGCACUCUCCUCAUAAUCAUGGUUUGAAAUGUUGUGAAAUUUUGACAAAAUAUUGUUGAUAUUUUGCUUAUUGGUUCAAAAAUAUAAUCGAAAUAUCAACAUUUAUUGGCUUUUUUUUAUUGAUUGUUUGGGAAAUUUCCCAUUGCAACCAAGGGAUUCAAACUCGGCUACCAGUGGCCCAAGUCCACAUUUUUAAAUAUAUGUUCAUAAUAAAUAUGUUAAAGUUCAUCAUUAAAAGAAUAAAUUAAUAAAUUCUAAUUAUUUUAUUUUAAAUUUUAUUUAUUUGAUUAAUAAAAGAAUAAAAGCCAUCAUUAUAAUUUUCUUAACAAGUCUUUUUUACAUUAUUUAUAUGAUAAUUAAAUAUAAAAAAUAUAAAUAUUAAAAAAAUCAUAUAUGCAUUAUCAUUUAUUUUACAUUAUUGAAUGCAUUUGAAUUAAAUAAAUUAUAGUUUUAAUCUUAAAUGUAUCACCAUUUUUCUCAUUAAUCCUAUUUUAAAAAAUUACUAUCACUUCACUUUUAAAUUUUUUCAUAUUUAUCUUUUUAAUUUUAUUUAAUUUUGAAUGUUUUUAUUUUAAAAUACUAAAAAUAUAAAUUUAUUCAAAAAAAUUACUAAAAUAUAAAAGAUAUAAUAAUAAUGAAGUUCUAAUAUUUUAUAAAUUAAAAUUAAUUUAAUAAAAUAAAUAAUAAAUUAUUAAGAUUGAUAUAUCCUUAUUUAUUGAUAAUUUUUUUCUUGACCAUACAUAUAUCAAUUACACUUACAAAAUAACUUUAACAUAUAUAUUCUUGCUUAUUUUAUCAUUUUUAGACUUUUUCCAAACAUUUCCAUGAAUUUUGAAUAAUUUUUGUCUCACCGAUAUUUUUUUAUAUAUAUGUAAAAUUCAAGUACCGAUAUAUUCAUAUUUACCAAUAUUUCAAACCAUGCUCAUAAUAAUUUACUAAUUAUUCAAGUGAAAUUGACCAAUCAAAAAUAAAUUCACAUGCAACACAUUAUCAACACUCUCCCAAUUUCAACACAAUUCAUUCUUAAUUUACUUCAUCAAUUUCAAAUUCAACAAUCAAAUUGCAUAGAAAACACAAAAAUCAACAAUCAUUCAACUAAAUUAAAACUACUAAUAUUUGAAUCCUAUAUCAUGCCAAAUCCAUUCUAGUAAUUAAUCUUAUCAACUAAUAUCACAACUUGUUAGGAGAAGGGGCUUUCUUGUUUCCUUUUCACAAGUCGAUCAGAUAAAGCUUAUUACAAAAAGAGAAAGAAAAGUUGAACUUUAAUUCACCACUAAGUUAAAACGAUUCAUUUUUAGGAUAUAAAUUGUUAAGAUAUAGCUUUUUAAAGCAUAAUAUGAUGUAACAGACUUAAAUUUAUUAUUUAUUUAAUUUUAGUUUUCUAUUUCUAUCUAUCAUGUUUCAUGCAUUAUAUUUUAUAAGCAUUCUGACAUGGCGUCUUUUACAUUGUACAUGACUUGACUAUAUUAGCAAUCAUACGAAGGAUCUAAGUCAUGGAUUCCUUACAAGUUGAAUAUUUGUAGUUGGUUCAUAUAUUUAGACAAUCAAUUUGAGGUUGUAGUAUACUAUCUCAUAAUUAGAAGGAUGAUUGGUUUUAGUCAUUGGGAUGAAUUUCUAAUAGUGAGUGCAUUACUAUGUACGGUUAUACAUUGGAUAGGACUUAUGGUGAGUGAUGACAUAAGACUAUUAAAUAGUCAUGAUUUCACCAAGUUGUUAUAUUGUAUGGUCUUUCAACUUUGAAAAAAAUACUGAGUUUAUGCCAAAGUUUGUAGUGACUUUGACAUACAACCGAUGAGAUCCUAAGGUGGGUUACAUAUUCCCUAUAGAUUGAGUCAAUAUUGAUGAAAGUUGGUGGCAACAGAUAUUUUCAAUAGAAACAUCAUGAUAUCUCAUGGAGUUUAAGAUAGUGUGUCCCAUUGGGUAAUCUUAAGAAUAUAUGUUUAGGAAAAUUAUGGUCAUAGUAGUUCCUUUAAACAUAUGCUCUUUAUAAGAUAAGGUAUGUCAAGUGAUCACACAAUAAGAGGGUCUAUAACUCAAGAAUGGUAAAGGUAAUCUUGAAAGGUUGAUAGUACUCAUAUUGUUAGAUUGAAAUACUGUAUACAGUGGAUAGUUGGUCAUGAACUUAAGUACUUAUGUCUCAUUAUAAUAUACAUAGAAUAUUAUAGUGUAGUUAACUUUUUAUACUGGGAUGUUAAGUCAAUUUCAGAAUUAGAUUAUAAGAGCUUAUUGUUUGAUUACUUAGAGAGAGAGAACCCUAUCCUUCACCCUUUAUGAGAUCUCUACCAUCUUAGUGUCUUGGAUUCAAGGAAGAGCCAUUGGAUAGAAAAUUACUAUACUUGCGAGAUCUUCAAUAACUUUGGAGUUUUUUUUACACUAAUAGGAAUUGAUCUAGGUACAUCCAAACCUUUAGAUCUAGAUCAUAAAAAGGUUUUUAUAUACUUAUUGGCUUCCAUUACUAGGAUCUAAAUAGCCUUAGGAAGAUUACAUACACCUAAUUGAUCUAGUAAGGAAUAGAGUAAUAUGUAAUUCCCUACGUAAAUAAAGAAAUGAAAAGAAAUGAAAGACAAUUGUAAGUUGAACUACCUGGGUUUAAGCAAUUUGAACCAUUUUUUUUUCAUUUUAUAUUCAAAAUUCUAAAUAUAAACCAUUUUAAUUCAUCAUUGAGAAUAAGAAGACAACUACAUAUAAGAGACAUCAGAUAUAUAUAUAUAUAUAUAUAUAUAUAUAUAUAUAUAUAUAUAUAUAUAUAUAUAUAUAUAUAUUUAUACCUAUAGAAUCUUUCAAAAUUUUUGUAGAUGUAAAAAUCCAUGAAUUACAUGACCAUAAAUUAUAAAUCAAUCCAUUAAAUAUGAAAUGAAUACCUAUAAUUGUAUUUGAUUCACAUGUUUCUACUUCCAAUGGUUUUAUACUAAUCAACAGGUGCUAUUUCUUUAUGUCCAUUGCGUAAUACUUUAUACUAGAAUUUGAACCUUGAUAGGGGAUGCUUGAAUGCUUGGUGGGUGUUUAAACGCCCCCUAGAAGACCUUUGAACGUCAUAUGGAUGUUCCAACUUAUAUAUAUAUAUAUAUAUUGUCAUUUCUCAUACUAACACAUCCAACACAUAUAUGUACCUUUAAAUUUUAAAUGACUUUAAAGUAGCAUGAAAAAGAAGAAGCUAUAAUUGGUAAAACCCUUAGAAUAUAUGGUGUGCCGGACACAUAAAUAUUAAAUUUAAAUCAAUAUUCACAUGAAAAAUCAAAAUCUCUCAAUAAGAGAUUAAUAUAUCUAUUUAAUUGCUAAUAUGCCCAUGAUAAGAAAUAAAAUAUUUUCAUUGAAUAUUUAAAAUAAUUUUGUAAAAUGCUUAAAAUCUUGUGCUGAUUAUUCAUCUUAAAUUUCAUAUUUAACAUUUGGACAUUUUAAUUUUGAAGAAUUAAAAUUGUUGAGCAAGAAAUAUUUAAGAUUUAUACAUUUUAUUAUUGAUGAAUUGAAAUUGUUGAGCAAGAGAAAAAUGGUGAAAGAUGAAUUUGAAUAAUAUUAUGAAAAUUAUGGGAUUUGUUAGUCUUUAAUGGUCCCAUAUUCUUUGCAAUAGAAUGAAAAAAAUUGAAAUUGAAUUUUAAUUUUGAAGAAUUAAAAUUGUUGAGCAACAAAUAUUUAAGAUUUAUACAUUUUAAUAUUGAUGAAUUGAAAUUGCUGAGCAAGAGAAAAAUGGUGAAAGAUGAAUUUGAAUAAUAUUAUGAAAAUUAUGGGAUUUGUUAGUCUUUAAUGGUCCCAUAUUCUUUGCAAUAGAAUGAAAAAAUUGAACCAUUCCUGACAUGACUCAAUGAUUAAUGUAAGAAAAUGCCCAAAGAUUAAUUUUUUAGGUGAAGCAAUUGAUGAUGUGAUUUAUUUGUACAACCAUUCUCUUAAUUGAAAUGUAAAAUAAAACACCAUAAUAGGUUUGGAAUAAAAGAAAGUCAGGUAUUUCACAUUUAUUAGUGUUUAGAAGCAUUACAUACACUCAUGCAUGUACUAAAUCAAAAGUGAUCAAGUGUGGAAAAUAUAUUGUCAUAGUUAUGACUCAAGCUUUUAAGGCUACCAUUUAUACAAUCUAAGCAAUAGAAAUAUCUUCAUUAAUAGAUAUGUCAAAUUUAAUGAAGAAUAAAUAUGAGAUUGGGGUACUAAAGAAAAAAACUAUGACACUCCCCUUCUUUAUGAAGAAGAUUAAACAAGAAAAAACUUAUAAGAGAUUGCUAAUUUACUAUCAUCAUUGCCUCCAUCAACUCAUGAAGUUCCAAAAAUAUUAUCUUCAUUACAAAGUUCAGUUGAAAUGACAAUAUGUAUGCUUUACGAGUUUGUAAGAUACUUAUGAAGUAAGAAAAAAUCAAGAUGGUCCAGUUCUAUGGGAAAGAAGAUUAAACAAGAGAAGUCUUGCGGGUGAUCGCUAUCUACUCUCAUCAUUGCCUUCAUCAACUCAUGAAGUUCCAAUGAUAUUAUCUUCAAUAUUAGAAAGUUCAAGUGAAAUAUAUUUUAGGAGUUUGCAAGAGACUUAUGAGUUAACAAAAAAUUAAAAUGAUCCAACAAUAUCAAUAUUAGAAACUUCAAAUGAAUGUCUUUUUGCAAAUUAUGAACCAAUAGAUAUAAACAAUGCAUGACCAAAAAAAAAAAAAAAGUGUUAUGGAUGAGAAAAUAAAAGCAAUAAGGAAUAAUGAUAGAUGAGAAUUAAAAAAGACAAUUGGACUAAAAUAGGUGUACAAGACAAAGAAGGAUGCAAAAGGAAAAGUAAAGAGAUGAAAAACAAGAUUAGUGACUUAAUAUUACAAACAACAAGGAAUCCACCAUGUGGAUAACAAAUCGAUGAUUGCAUUGUUAAGAAUCUAUUUUUCUAGAAUCAAAGUUAACAUAUCGAUGUAUGAUAUAAUUUUAUUAGAUAAUGCAUUAUGAAAAAGGAUCAAAUAAUUAAAUUUUUUGAAAAGUCCCAAGAUCAAAUUGCUAAUAUUUUGCAAAGAUUCUCAAUUAGUUUGAAGAUUUUAGAAGGUUAGAAAUGCUACUUGAAAUCACAAAUCAAGUUUAAAAAGGAAUAUUAGAAAGUAAACUUAAUUUAAGGAAGUUUCUAAAAACUAGAAUUUAAUUUAUUUUGUAAAAGUUAAUUAAAAUAUUUUUAACUUCAGUAAUUGAUCUAGUUUAUAUACGUAAGUAAUUGAGUUUAAUAAAGUUGAUAAUUUUUUUAUUAGGAGAUUUUAUUUCAUCACAUGUUAUACCAUUGAUAAUGAAUAAGAGUAGUGGAAUAUAAUACAUUUUUCCUAAUUUUUCUUUAAUAUUUAUCAGUGUUUCUUCAUCCCUUCAACAGACAUGGAACCUCGUGAACUAUAAAGAAGACUUGUCAGACGCUCCUAUAUCACACCCUACCUGAUGAAGUGAACGAAAAGAAACCUCAUGGACAUUCCAAGAAUGUGCAGUAUGAGAUCGAAUUGAUAGAAGCUUCCAUCUCACAACGUGCGUGAUGGUGAAGUGAUCGAAAGGAAACCUAAGCCCACGUGGCCAAAAUCUUGUCUACCACAGAACACCAUGUAUUUUAAUCGAAAAAGUCUAAGAAAAACCACAUAUUGAGGAUCGGUUCCAAUUUCCAAAUUCCAUGUAAGGCAUAUUGGAAUAAACUUUUAUCUCUGGAACUAUGCCCCAUCUUGAAUAGCUGAUGGUAUAUCUGCAGCACAUGGUAGGAGUCUACAUCUCAUAUCUGUGUGCUAUGUACGGGUAUAUAGGGUGGACAUAUGAAUUGAAAUACCAAGGAUAAAUGCACACAAUAUUGUGAGUAGUUGGUUUACUGUAAACAUAAACAUACAUUGGAUGCAGUUUCGGUUUUGACUUCAAACUGGUGAACAGAAUACUGAAUGUACAAAUUGUCAUAAAAGGAGAAUAUCGGCCAGAUAUAUAGUAAUGGUCCCUUGCUAUUUAACAGCUCAUGUGCGCAUGGUUUCCUCUUCAUGGCACGGGGAUCUUUGCAGUCAAGCAAGCAAGCUUUCACACACAAUUGUUGACUUGACUUGAAAAACUCGGUUUAUGUCCACCCAUGCAUUGUUCCCUUCCGUCUGUUUGGAGACGAAAGUUCACAGAUGCAUCGUGAAAAGAAAGCCGAACUUGUUUGCAUGCUUAACUUUUGCCAUUUAUCAACACAAGGGCAACCUCUGAAUCAGAUGUGAGCAGCGUGUUUUCAACAGUUUAUGGCCGAAAAAAGGACUGGCCAAUUCCAGAGAGUAAAGGCACCAAAUUUUCCUUUUUCAUGAGUGACUGUCCAUACACGGUUUGUAAAAGCAAAUGGUGUCCUGCUCACUUGAUAAAUAUAUAUAUAUAUAGCAGUUGAUUAUUCUUGCCUUUGAACAGAAGAAUUCACUAAAGUGAUCAUGCCUCCAAGCAUUUGGUUAAUAAGUAUCCCAGAAAACAAAGCAUAUGAGAAGCAAAAGCAGUCCAAAUUAAACUACCCGUCCACUGUGGUAGACAUGUUGAACAAAGCUGUCCUCAAAGUAAUAGACUGUGAAACAAAUAAUUUAGAUGAUCUGCACGAAAUACACUAUGCAUCGUACUCGUAUCAGAACCAGAUCGAAUUUUUACUAUGCUUAUAUAUUUAUUUAUUCUUUGCGCAUAUGAGGAUGAAAAUUGGGGGUGUUGAUUAAUUUGCUGAAAACGGUGUCAGGGAAAAUAAAAACGAGUUCAUAAUCAUCAAACGAGCUGCAAACCUUAUGAUUGCAUUGUUGGUAAGCUGUGUUGAUGAAAAAUUCGACUAGAAUUCAUUAGGCUACAUAUAUUGGAGGUCUUUAAAAAGAUUAGAAAAGAAGUCUCUUUCCUGGAUUUUGAAGAAAAACAUCAAUUCUAUCAAGCAAGGAAUCUGCAUAAGCUUCCCACUUUUGGAUCCAGUUUUCCUGAACACCAAAAGACCUACGGAUGCUGUAAAUUAGUAUGAUGUGGAAGCAGAAGUUAUGUUCUACUGCAAAGAUUAAUUAUCAGAUGAAGAUGGUAUAUAAGAAGCUUAGCUUCCUUAAUUAGAACAUUCAUGAAACGAAAUACUCCUUCCCAGAGACAAGGGUGAAGAUAAAUUUUAUGUUUUCUUUCUCAGUUAUCAAAUUAGGUGCAACUCCAGAGAAUUUAUAUAUAUUUAGAGAUCAAACAUGUUUGAAAGCAGAAGAAACCCUAAUUUAAGAACAGUACCUUUCAGUAAUGGUAUAGGAUCUGCUACCGCCAUAUGAACUGGAAUCUGUUGAUACUGAAUUGCACAGUAGUAUUUUCAAAAGAAAAAAAAAAACAUUUACUCAAAUAUUUCCACAAAAUUCACCUCCUGAACAUGUACUAAAGGACAAUAUUUAUUUAUUGAACAUACAUAUAGAAAUCCAGAUCUAUACCUUUUAAUGGUUUCAGACACUUGCACUAGCACAGUGUCACAACAAACAACCAAGAAAAGCCAUAUGGUGUUCGAUAUUUAUUCAACAGGAGGAUUCAACAGUCAUAGAACUCUAUGGAAACACAAACCCACCAGUCCACAUACCGUAGUAUAAUCACGCCAUCUUCGGCGACAGCCUAAACCAAAGCCCAAAUAGUAUGAACCAUGAGCUCCGAUAAUUUAAGAUGCAAAAACAAAGAAACCCACACAGAUAAAAGCUGGAAAAGACAUGUAGAUUUGCUAAAUCUAGCAAAUAAUCGGACCAAGAUGCUUCAAUUCCCCGAGAGAAGAUGAGAGAGUGAUGCGGAAUAGAAAAGCAGCCUUUCACUUCACCCAUAAUAGAAUAAUAUUAAUGGGAAUGAAAGGUAGGGUUUCUUCCUCUUCAGUGAGCCCAUCUUCUCUUUCUCCUCCUCUUUGUGGUGCUGGGAAGUAUGGUGAGGUGGUUGGUGGUGUGGAGAUGAUGAAAGUGAGGGAUUAAUAAUGAGGGGAAGAGGGGAGAGAACAUGAUGAUUGCUGCAGUGUGUUUUGCGUUGAAUGGAGGGAUAUAAAUCCAAAGCAUAGCGUGCUUCCUCUGAGGGGUUUGUUGGGUUCUUAUUCACAUGGAGAGAUAAUCAUACCAUGAAACCCCAUGACACCAUCCUUUUUCUGGUUCCUACCCCAAAAGAAACUCUUCAUUAUAUCCCCUACUUAUAAAGACACCCUCUACUUGACCUUUUGUGUGUGUGUGUCAAUAUGUCUCAUUAAAAAAAAAAAAAAAACCCAAAAUUUUCCUUUAUUUUGAAUCACAGGUCUAAAAUAUUUUUAACUCAUUUUUCCUUGUGCAUAUGACUGACUCACUGACUGAAGUCUGAAUAUAUAUGGAUACUGUUGAAGGUCGUUACUGCUGUAAACACUGUUGAUAUCAAUGAAAAGCACGAUCCGGAGUUGGGAGUCCUGUGGACCCGUGAGAGACUGUAGUCUGUAUGAGUAUAAGACAGAGGAAUCGGAUUCUUUAGGAGAAUAAGCAAAACGGGAACUGCCAUUAAGCUGCGCCAUAAACAAUCAAUUUUGAGGGUAUGUUUAGAUGAGAAAGCUUCCCCAUUUUUCACAACAUGUUCGUUUCAGAAUAAUAUGCGACUGGAAAAGGAACCAUCCUCAGACCUUCUCUUCUGCCUGUGCAUAUAACGCCAAGGGAUCCUAUUUUUCAUUUUCACCCCGUGUCUUUUCAGUUUUCACACUCCGUGGACCCAAUAAGCUUAGGGAGUUUUCCAUUAAAUAUUGAUGAUUAUGGAGAUGAUGAUAACGAAGAUUAUGGCACUGGGAAUGGUGACAGAGUCAAUGAUGAUCAUGUGGAUUACAGCAAUGAUGACUUCUCAAAUUCAUCCUCAAAACUCCAGCUAAUAAAUGGGGUCGCAGCUAGGGAUUGUUUGGGAAACAAGUGAGAUGCCUAUUUUUUAAGCUAUAUAUUUGAUUAAAAGGGUGAAAUAAUAACCUUUCACCUAUUUUAGUUAAAAAAAAUUGAUCAAGUUUUAACCAAAAAAGAAAAAAUACUCUUCAUUUUUCAUCUAAAAAAACAUUUUUUAAAGUGGGUUUUAAUUCAUUAAAUAUGAAAAAAGAAACCCUAAAUUUUUUAAAUAAUUUGAAAUACAUUUAUUUUUUAGUGAAUCAUUUAAUUAUUUCCCAAAAUACUCAUUUGAAUUAUCAUGUCAUUAAUAUCAAUUAAUAAUUAGACUUUUCCACGUAAAUAUUUCCCUUCCUUUUAGAUAUUUAUUCACCCCGUAAUUUUUUUUUUCUUCUCUCCAUCAACAAACAUUCCAUAGGAAAAAUGAGAUAGGACAUUGCUUUAAUGAAAUUAUUUUUAAAGAGACCUUGGAAAAAACCAUAUACCUUAUUUCCUACAAAACUCAAACUCAUCCACAGUCCAUUAGGGUUUUAUUACUUUUAAUGUUCACGCUUUUCAAACUUCCUCAUUUUUACUAUGGGGUGUUUGUUUAUGGAGAAAAAAAAAUCUUAAAUUUUCUAAUGAGAUGUUCGUUCUAAAUGGAAAAAAAAUCCCAAAUAAUAAUAAUAAUAAAUAUCUAAAAUAAAAGAAAAUAUCUACUAGAGAGUUUAGUUGUCAAAUGAUGUUAAUGACAUAACAAGUUAAAUGGGCAUUUUAAUAAAUAAUUGGAUGACUCAUUAAAAAAUGUAUGUAUUUUAAAUAGAUAAAGAUAAUAUUGAUUUAAAAUAUUUGAGGUUUUUUUUCUAUAUAUUUUCAUAUUAGUGAAUCAAAACCUACUAUUUAAAAAAAAAAAAAAAAUCUUACAUAAAAAUAAUGUAAAUAUAUAAAUACGCUUAUGUAAAAAAUAAAUUAAUUUUUAAGUUCAAACGUAAGAGAAGUUAUUUUUACAAAUUUAAGGGUCUAUUUAGUUAUGUUUUUUUAAAUUUGUUUUUUAACAUUGGUUUUUAUUCUUUAAUAAAAAUAGUUUUUAAAAACAAAUUUUAAGAAAUAUAACCAAAUGGACCCAUGUUUCCUUCUAUUUUUAAAAAUAAAUGAAAACAAUUUUUUCUUAUUUUUUAAAAAUUAUUCUUUAUUUCACUUUAUUUUUAAAAAUUAUUUCUACAAAACAACGAUAAAACAGUAUUAAAAAUUUGUAAAAAUAGUUUUUUAUUUUUAAAAGUAAAAAACCAUUUUAAAAUCAUACAACCAAUUAGAGUCUUUGACUAUUCCUCCUAAUAAAAAGAAUUGAAGAUUGAUCUCAAAAGAAACAUAAAGACCGAGAAUAUUUUGAAUAAAUGUUUUUGAGUUUUUGAAAAUAAUUUUUUAAACUUAUUUUUUGAAAACAAUUAAGAACCAAACGAAUUUUCAAAGGUAGCCAUAAAUUUUGAAAAUUUACUUUUACAACUAAUAUACCAAAACAAUCAUUGUGUUUAAUUUUCAUUUUUCAAAAUGAAAAAUUCUUAAUAAUAACAAUAAUAAUUUUUUAUUAUUAUUAUUUUGACUGUGGGUAAAACUCUUUCAUACCGAUACUACGCAUAUUUGAAAAAGCACUGACUUCUAUUAAAAUCUGGGAUCACUUAAAAAACAAUGAUAGUGUGUCGGCUCCAUCUAGCUAGUACGUAUUCAAAUCAUGAUGAUAAUAGGUGCACCGUAGCAAAUUUUGGCAUAAAGUAAAAAUGGUUUUUCUAGUAAACUGAAGUUGCUUCGAAGUAAAGGUCGUGAGAAUUGGUGCAUCAGGAAAGCACUUUUUCAUAUGCUCCAUGAUUAAAAUUCACAACCAGCUCUCUCAGAGGAGAUUAAAGGGCAGGGAAAAGAAAUUAAAGUCACCCCUUCAAUCCUCUCUUAGUGACUUUAGGUUUGACCCUAGUAAAGUUUCCACUUCCAAUGGAUCACUUUUCUACUUUUCUUUCUUUCUAAUCAACUUCUCUUUUAGGAUUCAGGCUGGUCUAGAGGCCAAUUACAACACACAUCCGCAUAAUCUCAAUGUCUCGGAGGAGUGCUUCUGUCUUUUCAUUGACAAAUUAAACAGUGCCAUGGAUCUCUGGCUUUAAAUAAGAACAAAAACAAAUAGCAAUCUUCUUUACAGUUAGUGGAGACAGUGCCCCAUGGCGCCUUUUGGUAAUGCCCACCAAAAAGGUGGAGGGCAAGGAAAGCUGAUGGGGAAGUCGAGUGUGUGUGGAUAUUGGGUGAAUAUUCAGACUAUGUCUUGUGGGGCAAAAUACCCAUUCUUACGCUCGUCUCACGUGAGGCUGUCCUCCCAACUUACUUCCUCAUUUCGGAUAAUUUUUAAUAUUAUUUUUAAAGGCAUCAAAGUGAUUCAAUUUUUUAUUCAACCAUGAAGAAAAAAAUACAGAGCCGUAAGAAAAUAUUGCACUAAUUUUCAUAUUAUUUGAACUUGGGGUUAGUCCACAUGAUAUGAACUUAAAAGUCAAAGGAUAACUUUUAACAUAGGACUUUUACAAAAAUGUAUUGAUAUUUGACACACAUUAAAAUGAUUUAAGUUUUAGUAAGAGAAGAACGUGAUUUGAAAUUUUUGCGGGUGGCCCGACACGUGGUAAAACCCAUAUGAAGAGCGUGUCUAGCGUGACGCAUGAGAAGCAAUUUCCUCUAAAUUGCACAAAUCAUAUUUAUAUUUUAAAUUGAGUGUCGAAAUACAACUUUGAACAUUUGAAUGAUUUGGAUUCAAAAGUCAGUCGUCCAGAUGAUAGACUUUUAGAAUUCAUCAAAGUAUUUAUAUAAAAGGCAUAUAUAAAACAUAUAUUUUAGUGAAUUUAAUGGAUAGGAAAUUCUUCAUCACUAAAAAAUGUUUAUUUUUUAAAAUUUUACAAUAUUAGAAAUGGUAAUAUAAUUUUCAUUUUAAAAAAAAACCUGUAACAAGAGCUUAUGAAAGGAUCUUAGAAAGGUUGUACUCAUUUUUUUUAACUUAAUGUCUAUUGUGUAGUGUUCUACCUUUGCAUGAAAAGUGAGUAAUAAAAAUUCAUAUAUGGAAGGCUUACACAACAAUGCUAUUCAAAUUUUUUUUUGAGGGCAUAGACUUGAUAAACAAGCAAAAUUUGAAGCGAUUGGUGGGUUACCUAGGUACCUCUAUGGCCUUGAAUCAUACAAUAUUAAGUGGAGCGUGGAGUUGUUGUAAAAUAAUAUUAAAGUCUAAUAUUAAGGCAGAGAUGUGCUUGUUGAGCCUAAGAAAAUGGAUAACAAUACUCGAAGAGUGAGUGGUGAAGAGUUAUAUAUGAAAGGUUUGUACAAUAACAUUAUCAAAGUUUUUUUUCAAAAAUAAAGGUCUAAUAAAGAAAUAAAAUUGGGUAUCAAUAAUAUCGAGUGAAGAGUGGGAUUGUGAUAGAAUGUAAGGGGGAUGGAUUGUAAUGUCCCACGCCACCCCGAAAGUAAAUGGUGAAGAAUCAUAUAUAGAGGACUUAUAUAACAAUAUUAUUAAAACUUUUUCUUUAAAGGUAAAGGUCUAAUAAAGAAGCAUAAUCGAAACCCAAAUCUAAUAAUAUUGGGUGGAGAGUGGAUUGUUUUUUUUUUUUUUUUUUUUUUUUUUUCUAUUUAUUGCUUAUUUUUAACUUUUUUUUAUUAAAUAAUAAAUAAAAUAAUAAUAAUAAAAAACAUGAUAUUUAAUACUAUUCAAAUGUUAGGUUGCCUUUCUUUGAUUUAAAAUCAAUAAUCAUUCUCCACCAUGAACUUUGGUAAACCUCCAUAAGUGACAAACAAAUAAUCAUUAAAAAUAUGAAACUGAGAAUUCAUCACCCAUAGGAUUCUUUUCUCACGCAAGCAAUAUUAUGGUGGAGUGAUUAAUAAUAAACACUAGCUUUUAAAUAGUAUACAAAGCACAAUAAUUAACGUAUUUUUUAAUAACAAAUAAAGUAAUUCAAUUUUCAUGUGGAGACAAAUACAUAGCCAUAAUCCGAAUAAGCAUAUUUUCUAGUAAUAAUGGGCUUUUUAUUUAAUGCAUGUUUUUAGGAUUUAGUAUCCAACUAAACCUUAACCUCUCAUCUAAUUUUGACAUUGUAAUGAUUAUAGUUACGUAUUUUGGUAUAAGAUUAAGUCACAAUCUUAGGUACAUGGCAUGGAUUGUAUAUCUUUUGCCUGCCCAAAAAUGAUGCACCAUGUUGCCCAUGGAGGAAUCGUAUACGACUAAAUUUUUCUGCCUUUCUUUCAGACUCGAAAUUUAAAUAAAUUUUAUGGCAAAAUCAGCCAAAACUGAUGGUGCAGACCUCAAAAAUAGUCACUCUCAGUAGACUUUUUCUAAACUAGGCCAAACAUUUCUAAAAACGUACCUACUAAUUUAGAAUUGGGCCCAUCUAACAACCUAGACAGAAAUUUAUGGUCCGCAACAUUAAUCUUGUCAAAUCACCGUUUGGUUGACUGCCGACCUUUUUACCUUCCUCAAAAAUUUUUAUCCCGAGUUCCAGGAAAUGUUAUUAACAUAUAUGGCCCCCAAAAGCGGAAGCUUCUAAGUAAGCCUCCACAAGGUAAUGCCAAAAUCAAGGCUUUUUGUUGUAGGGGAUAACAUAGAUUUAAAGCUAUAUUACUUUUUGAUAAAUGUAACUUAUGUAUUAAAAAAUGUGCCCUCUUGUUUUUUUAUGCCACAUCAAAAUCCACAGGCCUCAUCUUUUGCAAAACCGGAAGCUUCCCGAGGAUGCCUCCUCCGCUAGGUAUGUCAAAUCGAGGUUCAUUUCGAAGGGGAUGGGAUAAAUUAAAAUUUUAAUUUAACUUUUCUAAAUUCUUGCAUGAAUGUUGGAUAUUUACGAAAAAAAAAAAUGUGCAGUGUAGAAUUUUUAUGCCAAAUCAGAUCUCUGGUCCCCCUUGUUUUAAAAAAUGGAAGCUUCCAAGGAAGCCUCCCCAAGGUCAUGCCAAAUCCAUACAGGUUGUACAAGAUGGAAUAGUGUAGAUGGAUGUUACAUGGGUACAAAUAUGUAUAUCUACUGUAUUGUUUUUUAUGCCACGUCAAAUCAAUGGGACUCACUUGUGCAAAAGGUGGAAGCUUCAAGGAAGCCUCUACAAGGUUAUGACAUUCAAGAUUUCGGGCCUAAGCUUAUCAAGGAAGCCUCGAGGAGUCUUCCUCCGACAUGAUCGAGGAAGAAGAAGGGUGACCCAAUAACCAAGGAAGUAGAGAAAGUCUCCGUGCUGAGGUUUCCACAAGUCACCUAAAAGACCCUCAAGGACUAAAAUUAACGAAGAAGGAAAUUUGGCAGCUGAUCCACAACUUAAAGCAUAGUGUCAGAUAAGCCAAUUAAUAUAGACCAAUUUGAUCCGACCCGGCCAAACUCAUCUUCCUGUCUACGCUUGGUCAUGCCCAGCCAGACCCGCUUGCGUGAAUGUGCAGGUCGAGUCUGCUUCUUUGCAUUGGGCCAAUUGGUGGUGCGAGCAUAGGCUUAGGGGUGCUGCUGAUACACACAAAUUUCUCUUUAAAGAGAAAUUAUAUAUGAUUAGGUUAAAUUUUUAUUGAUUUAAAAAUCACGAGUAUUCUCUAUUUUGUCUUCUAAUUUUUUAUUUUUUAUUUACUAAUUAAGGGUUUGAAAAAACUUGAUGCCGAAUAACUUGAACUUAAUUUGGAUAUUAAUUUAAUUUAAUUUUGAGUCUUGACUUGAUUAAGGUCUUAUCUUGUGUUGAGUCUUGGCGUAAUUUAGACCUCAACAUAAUAUCCUUAGCAUGACUUGAAUCUUAACUUGAAUUGAGUUUUGGUGUAACUUGAGUUUUGACUUGGCUUGGAUUUGACUUCAUUUGAACAAUGUCAAUUAAAAGUUUGAGCAACUUGAUCUCAAAUCAAAGAGAUCUAUAUAGAUUAUUCGAAGAUACUUCAAAGAAAUUGAAGAUUCUUUCAACAAUAGUUAAAAGUGCCUUCUAAAGGUUUAAAGAAGUCUUAAAUCUCCCUUAAAGAGCAUUACUACAACUUUUAUCUUUUAAAUUACUUUAAAAGCUUUGAAAUUAAUUCUAUUUUUAAGAAUUUGAAACACAAUAUUUGAAUAGUUUUCUAACUAUUUAAAACCAUUAUUAAAAUAACUAUUUUGAGAAAUUUGAAGACCAUAUUUGAUCGUCAUAACCCUUUGAAACAUACCCGUAGGCUUCAUAUUAUCAAUUGGUUAAAGCAUAGUGGAGUGUAGAGGUUUCAAAUUAAUCAUAAUUAAGUAUGAAGUUGCAAUCCCUUUGUCCACAUCAGUGAUACUUUUGCCACUAGUGUCAUCCUCAAAUUCUUUAACAAACGUGUUCAUUUGUAUUUGUUUUUAUGAUAAGCACUAUAUUAUGUACUUGUGUAGCUAAUUCCUUAAAAGUUUUUAGUUUGAUACAUGUAAUAUAGUUCCUUGGUUAUAAAUUUCAUUAGAAAAACUUUCAUACAAUUUACAUUCAAGAUUUAAAUUUCUUUACUUUAUAUAAUCAAUCACUAGUUCAUAUUUUUAUUGUUUAAUAUUGGUAUUUCAAACAUGCUGAUGCAAUGUCAACUAACCUAAAAACUAUUAAGGAACUUUCCAUUUAUUCCAAAUUAUCGAUAAUAUUGAUUUCAAGAUUUGUAUACCAAUCAAAUUUAUAUUCUUUUAAAUGAGCAAAUAAAUUACUUGACUAAAAGGCUCAGUUCAUUUGUGAGGAAAAACUCAUUUGAAAAAGCUUGAAUGUUUUUUGUGGCAUGUUUUCUUCUGAAACAUAUUUUAAGCUUAUCUUAAGAUGCAUCUUAACGUGGAUAUGUGAUUUCAUUUGUUGAUCCUAUUACAAUUCCAAAUUUGUGAAAAAAUGUAUCGAUCUUAAAAUCUUGCUCUUGAUUGUGUUAUAUAAGUUCUUUUAUAGUUCUUUAUUUGUUUGAAGAAUGGUGUGCGUACAAUCAUAGUUUGAAAAGGUGCAGAAGCCUUCUAAAGUUUAAGUGCAAGAUGCAACACAAAGUAUGCAUUUGAGUGAAGUAAAAUGCAACCUAGGAUGCAUAUCGAGUUUAUAAAGUAUGAUUCGAAAUCUAAUCCAAUUAAUAAAAUUUAAGAUUCCACACAUUUAAAAGAAAAAUUCAAUAAAAAAUAAUGAAAUUAUAUACAUUUCAAUGUAAUAUUAAAAAAUUUAAGAAUUAAAUGGUUUAAAAAGAAAGAGUAACACCGACAAGAUAUGAUUCUUCAAUAAGACAUAUGUCUUGACAAGCAAAGUGUUACGAUUAGAAAGUAAUUGCUCUUUAAGUCUAUACGUGUUUAAAACAUCCCUUUUAAAAUUAUGGGUAAAAUAUCUACUUUUUCCUCUAAUUCUUUCGACUUUCGGUAAUAAUUUUUUUUACACCUUCUAGGCUAUGACCAAAAGAAAUGACAUUAGUAGACUCGAGAAAAUUUUAAGGUACUGAAGCAAUAUGGUACCAAAUUCAAAAUCUAAGACUGUUGAAGUAUAUGAUUAAAUAUAGAGCACUAUAUUCAUCAUUUGCAUAUGGUUAAAUAUAAAGUAAUGGGCAUUUACUAUGUGGCAUUUUUUAAUAGGAUGAGACUUUUCCAUAGCCAAAAAUAUCUUUUUGGUAGCAUAGUGGCAACAAUGAUGUAACACAAAGCAGAGAGAUACAACCAUUCGCUACUUUCUCUCACUUUCUAAUCGAAAAAGUCCCACUAAGGCCUAGGGGUAAGAAUGAGGUCAAGUAGUCUGGUUUUUUGGUCUCCAUUUGACUUCCACAACAAUUAUUUGCCAAUUUCGAUAUUUUGAUUCGUUCCGUCGAAGGCAUUUUGAUGAUAAUUGAUUGUUUGGUGGCGUGUUCUGUAGGGAUCAGAGCUUCAUCUCAAGCCUGCAAAUAUUCCCUCCAACACUACUUGCAGCAGCAACUUUAGGCACAAAAUCACAAUGAGAGAUGAUUUCGCUUUCGCUCUUACAGGGAGCGGUGGACAGAUUUAACAUAGCCUACAAUGGCCUGAAAGGGUCGGUUGGGUGAGGCCUCUGUGCUAGCCAUUCUUCGACCCAACUUACUUAGGGCCUGGCCCAGCCUUUGAUCUUCCAAUAUUUGAGAAGGUGCUUAAGGUAUUUGCAGUUUUAAAAAAUAUUUUCUGCAUUUGUAUUUUAAUACCAAAAUUUAGGAUAGCAAUCAUGCCACGUUGAAAUGUCAUGUAGGAAGAAUAUUGUGUGACUGACGUCCUCGAUUUAUGAGUGAUUUUUUUUUCCACGAUUUUUGGAUUUUUAAUUUUUAAUUUUUAAUUUAUAUCAUUAUUUUAUUUUUAUUUUUUCAUAUUUAUCACGUUAAUUUUUAUUUUUAAAUAAAUUACAAUUUUUUGUGUGUACAUUUACGUUUUAUUUUUUAUUUUAAUUUUAAAAUAUUAAAAAGUAAAUAAAACUAUUGACAAAUAACUAAAAUGCAAAAACAGUUAAUAAAAAAAGUAAGUUUUUAAAUAUUUUAUAAAAUAUAAGGUGGUGUUUGUUUUUUUACUUAAUUCUAAAUAGAACCUUAAUACUUAAUAGUAUUAAAUAUUAGGUUGUUUGUUUUUGUAGUAUUUUAUUUCUAUUAAGUAUUAAAAAGUAAAAAAAACCAUUGCGUUAUUUUUUCUAUUUAGAAAAAGCCACAUAUUUUGGCUUUUUCUAUUUAGUAAAAAAUUUAUAAUAAGUCAUGAAAAAGUAAAAAAACAAACAACCUAAAUUCUAAAACUAAAUGGUUUUCAGUAAAAAGCCAAAAAAACAAACACCACCAAGUCUUAUAUAAAAAUUAAGUUUAUAAGAUAAAUCAUAAAUGCAACUUUCGAUAAUUCUAAUAAAAUAUACUAAUGUCAGGCAGAUUUUUUAACCAGACUUUUUAUUUGAACUUUGAAAUAAAAUAUUUUAUUUAAAAGUUUUGAAUGAUUUAAUUUUGCCUUUCAUAUAUAAAAUGUUUUAUUUUUUUUAAAUAAAUGAACAUGUGGUAAACAAUUUUAAGAUCGUUUUAGAAAAAAAAUUAGGUAAUUUUAAAUUGAUUAAAAAAUUCAAUAAUUUUAAAUAGUUUAAAAUUAUUUAUUUUCAAGAUAUAUAUUUUAACUAGUUUAAAAUUAAUUUAUUUUCCUAUUUAUGCUUAAUUAAUGUAACUAAUUUUAUCAUUUUAUACAAUUCACAUUUCUUAUGUACAUAUAUUAUAUUAUUAACUUUAUAAUUUUGCCAUAAUAAUUGCCAUUCAAUCAUUUUUUUUUUUACUAUGUUUCCUAAAAUUUCUAUAAAAUAAUCCAAUAACAAAUGUUCCAUCCGAUGCUUUCAUCUUUUAUCAUUAGAUGACAAAGCAUAAGGUUUUUUAAGCUACACCGCUAGACGUGGCAAAGGAUAGUAAUAGAUAAGUCUUUUGAUUAUUUGAUGAUAACGAAACGAGUUUGAAAUUUAAAUGAUAAUAAUAAUAAUUUUUAAUAAAAUAAUUUAUAAAAAAUUAUAAUAUUUUAAGUAUUUAUAAAAUAUAUUUAUUUUAUAAAAGUAAAUUAUAAAAAUGUGUUUACUUAUAAAUUAUAUUUCUUUGAUAUAAUUAAAAAUUUUAAAUAAAAUCAUAAUCCACUUUUUCUUUCCCAUCCUGCCCCUGCUUUAGGUUUAGGAUAGGGUGAAAAUAUAUUUAAGUUAAUUGGAGUAUGGUCAUGAUUAGUCAUGAUUACAUCCAUAAUUACCACUAAACAAAGAUUAGUUGUUAAUAAUGUGACAGCUAUAGUUAGUUGUUUUACAACUCAAACCAUUUUAGAUCUUAUGAAAAUCUUAAAAAAAAAUUAAGCUAAUUCAACAUGAGGUAAUCAUCCUAUACGAUAUGUGAAUAGGGUGAUGGUUUUUUUUUAUAAAUUUAAACUAUGUGAAUGCAAAAAACAAUUAUAAACAAAUAUAUAAUAAAACAAUAUAAAGACAAUUGCAUGUAAAAGAGUAAGGAAGAGAGAAUACAAAUAUAAGAUUUUUAUAGUGGUUCGAUACAACUUGACUUACGUCCACUUUCCUCUAACUUCAAUCACAAGUUUGAGGUUCUACUAAUUUAAGGUUUCCAACACAAGCCUUCAAUUAAGUAAUACAAUUGAAUUAUAGUUCCAAUAAACCAUUUUGGACUUUUGGCUCCAAAUACCCUUUAUAAUCCUUAAGAGAUAUAUCACUUUUGAACAACCCCUUAAAUGAUAUCCCACACUUAAAAAUCCCAAAACGAUACCCCAUGCUUAGAUUUUUCUUCUCAAAGAUUUACAAAUGAGGAUAAAAAAUAUUCUUACAAAAUUUUAGUACAAAACUUUAAGUUCAAAUGAUAUAAGAAAAUUAUGAUUGAAUGGUGUACUAAAAAUAUGCAAGUUUUUGAACAAGGUGAACUAAAAAAACACUCUUCUAAGGCUCAAAUAUAUUCAAGAAAGGUUUAAGAAGGUUAAACUAUUGAAACAAUGAAGAUUUAAGCUUUUUUAUAGAGGAAAAAUGUCAAACUAGCCAUUGGAGGUUCGUCUCAUGGAGCUCAAACUUGAUUGGUUUGCUAGCCGUUCGAAUUUAAUGCAUGACAAGUGACCAUUGGACUUCGACUAUCCCUUGACCAUCACUCAAUCGGUCCUCGACUUGUUGAACAAGCGGUUUAGAAGAGAGAUAAUGUUUUUACACCUUUUGACUGGUUAAACUAAAUAGGUUGAUUGGUUUCUCAUCUGAUUUAACUAGUUGAGUUGUUUGUGGUUCAAUAACCAUUUUUUUCAACUUUAAACAUUUUAAACAAGUUUGGAAAGCAUUUGACACAAAGUUUUAAUUAAAAACAUGAAAUCAUCCAAUUUUAAAAGAUUUAAAACAAAAUAACCAUUGGAUGAUUUUGGUGCAUAAAUAAGAAUGUAAUGUAUGAAAAACAUAGUGUACUAACAACCUUACAAAAAAAUUCUAUAAAGCUUAGGUCUUGAAAAACACUUUUCUUUGAGGUAUUUUCUUCUUAUUGAUUUUCCUUUGUCUUGAUUUUGUAUUUAUGAUUGUCACUUUGAAAAUCUUCUUACCUAAUCACAUUUCAAAUAUAAUUGUUAGUUCCAAAUCUUGUUUUAUUAUUAUCAAAAUCGAGAUUAACCAAAUUUUGGUUUCACAAAAACUAAUAUCCAAAAAGAAAAAAAAAGUUUUAAUGUCAAAAUUUUAAAAUUAGAACUCAUUAAUAAAAUGUGCUUUUCCUAAGGGUCUUCUUUGUAAAAGAAAAAUAAAAUAAAAUAUAAAUGUCAUAAAAUUUGAUUUUAUUUUUAUUUUUAUUUUUUUUAAAAAUAAAAAAAUAAUAUAUAUAUAUAUAUAUAUAUAUAUAUAUAUUUUAAAUAUAAGCAAAAAUAUUUAAAUUUAUUUCUAUCUUGGAUCUUGGACCUAUAACUAAAUGUGAAAGUUUACAUAAAUUCCGAUCAUAUGCAUUGUACAUAUCUAAAAAUUUUACAAACUUUUUUUAAAAUUGGCCGCUUAUUAUUUUGAAAGUAAGAUAAGGGGAUAAAAAUUAAUUAAUAUAUUUUAUCUAACACUUAUCAAAUUUUAAUAUAUUUUAUAUUAUUUAUUUUAUGCUAAGAUAAAUACAUGAAUAAAAAUAUAUGCAUGAUAUUGUGUUAUUUUUAUUUAUUUUUUAUUUCAUAUAUAUUACUUGUAAAAUUUAAUAUUUUGGUCACAAUUUAUUUUACUAUAGUCUAAUUGAGAUUGUAUGAGAAUUGUUUUAAAAAUUAUUUUUUAUUUUUGAAAAGCUUUUUUUUUUUUUUUUUUAAACUCAAAAACAUGUUUAAUAGUUUUUUUUAAUAAAAAAAGUUCUUGGAGAAUUAGUCUUGUAAAUGGAGUGUUUUUUAAGAAAAUAUUUAAUUAUUUUCACUUGUUUUUAAAAGUUAUUUAAAAAAAUAAUUAUACAAGAUUAAAAAUAUAAUACUAUAAAUAGAUAUUAAUUUAAAGGAAUAUUUAAAAACACAAAAAAAUAGGUUGAGAACGUUUUCAAUUCUCGAAAAGACUUUUGUUCUAAAAACACUAAAGAAUUGUUUUUGAAAGUUAUUUAAAAAACUUAUUGUUAAUAACUUUAAUUAUUCUCACAAAUUUUAUAAACUCUAUUCAUUUCUAACUUCAAUUUUAUUUUAUGUUUUUCUAAGUAGUUUUAUUCAAUUAGUACUUUUAAAUUUAUUCUUUUUGUUUAGAUUUUUUAUUUUUAUGAAGAAUAUACAUUUUAGAAAAAAAAUAAAUUUUAAUUUAGAUUAGAAUAAGGAAAAGUAAUAAGAUAAUGAGAAAUAUUUUUGGAUUCUUUUUAAGAUAAAAAGUAGAGUAAUAAGGGGAGAGAAUGAAGAAAUUUGGCGAAGGGGACUAAGGGUUUAUUUGGUUGGUGUUUUUGAAAAUUGUUUUAAAAGAUGGUUUUUAAAAAUUGUUUUUAGUAUUUUAAGAAACGAAAUUAAUUUUGGGACUGAAAAACAGUUUAUGUUCCAAAAAAAAAAAAAGAAGAAAAAAACACGUUUAAUUGAGUUAAUAAAAAAAACUUUUUAGAACAAAUAAAAUAAAAAACAUAUUUGAAAGUUUUUAUUUUAUUUUAUUUUUAGUUGAGUGUUUUUUUUCAAUUAACUUGAUAUUAUAAAUCUCCUUUCAUGUCUUUUCCUAUGAUUACAAAGGUUCAAAAAUGUUUUUUUAUCCAUUAGAAAUAGUUGACAGCAUGUUUAAGGUGAUCAUCUAUCAUAUCUUUUAGGAAUUAUGUGCCACUUUAAUAUUUACGUCAUUUGAGCUGUAUAUUUCCAUGAUAUAUUUCAACAAACUUAUAGAAUAUGGUUAAGAACAUGCACUGGUGGAGGAGGUCAAAUGCCAAGGGCACCAAACCUAGCCCUGAGUUUUCCAAGAAAACUCAUCAAGUCAAAGAAGGGCCAGUUGAUUGGCUUAGAGGGAACUAACCUCAAUUUACCACUCCAUAAUACAAAUCUAGGUAAAUUAGGAUCCCUAAAACAAGAUCAUCCUUCAAACCACUACCCACCUGCAACAAAACAAGAAUGCAACAUUUACCUACAAUAUAGAACAAUGUUUCAGGGAAAUAAAUUAUCAAUAACACUAGCUCAAAAAUUGAGAAAAAAUAGAAAAGGACAAAAUAUUUAAGCCAUACAACAAUAGCAACCCCAAAUUGAAAAACGUCAUGGUGAUGCUAGAGAAUGUAUUUAGCAUCAAUUUUGACAAAUUUGCAUAUAAUAAACAAAAGAAAAGUAGUUUUGCGCUCAUGUUAUUGUAGAUUUUGGUGGGCAUUGCAGGUAGAAAUGGUGUUUAUAAGAAGUAAUAUGAUCCUUUCAAUAGAGAUAAUAAUUGGGUUAAUACAGCCUAGGUCAUGCUCAAACCUUAAUUAGGACCAUGGUGAGAAUAGAAUCGGAGGGAUGGAAGCUAUUAGGGCCUUCUUUCUAGAGAUAGUCGUCCCCCUCCAUGGUGGUUACCCUUGACGCUAUCUCUCACAUUUGUCACAAUCACAUUGCUGCCUACAUCACCAUGCUUGGUGGCAAGAGCUCGAGUGAUAUAGAGGCUAUUGAUUCCUCUCCCGACGAUGACACAGUCCACUGGCAAGUAAUUAUUUUCAUUGCCAACCUUGGAGGAAGAAAUUGUAGACUCCCAGUCCCAGUGAUAGAGCAUCGAAAUUUCCAUGGCCUAGUGCAAUUGUUCUAAGUGUGUCUAGAGAAAAAUGGAAAAUUGCAGUGGAGAUUUACAGGAGAAAAAAGGUGAAGAGUGGGAGGGUCAAUGAGAAUAAGAGUGGGCAUGGCGAGGAAGAGAGUAAGAGAUGGUUAGAACAAGAAAUGUGAGAAUAGGAGAAGAAAGGAUUGAAAACACGAAGAGCAGAGAUGUUUUUAUUUAUUUUCUAAACAAUAAAAAAACAAGAAAAAGAAUUUUUUAUUGUUAUUUGAAAAUAGACAUUUAGAAAACAUGAAGAAUAGUGAAAACAAUGGGGCUACUUCCCAAAUGUGUGUGUGUGUUUUUUAUUCUUAAGAAAAAAAAAAUUCAAAAAACACCAACCAAAUAAGCCCUAACUCUUCCUUUUACUUGAUCUCCUCAUUUUUUAUUAAUCAAGGGAAAAUAUUAAAUAUUAAAAUUCAAUUAGUCACAAUACCUCUUUAGUACUAUUGCAAAAUUUUUCUUAUUUAGUAAAAAUAUAUAUAUUUUUUUGACAUAACUCAGUCCGCUCUUCUUAAAAACUUUAAUUAUUCACGUAAUCAUAUGUUUCAAAUGUUUCUAAUUGUUCAUAUUUUAAGAUCUACAAUCUGUUAAGACCUUUGUUGCAGAUCCUUUGCUUAAAAAGCUUAUAAAUCUUUAAUUGAAUAUACUAGGGUUUCUCAAACAAAGUGAUACUUCACAUCAAGUUAUUAAAUCCUUAACCAAGUGUUCAUUUAUGAAUGCUUAGUAAGGAUCUUGUAAUAGUCAAAUUCUAAUUAACAUGAAAUCCUAUAAACCAGUGUAAUGUACUAAGAAUGAAUAAGAAAACAUCAAAUUUAUAUAUUGGAAUUUUGAAUAAAUCAGAAAGACCAAGAACUUUUUCUAUCUUUUAGAUUGGUGGAUUCAAUUUAAUUAAAACAUCAUGACUUAUUGGAUAGUUGGAAUAGGAAUUAUAUUUCUUGAGAAAUCCAUGUGAAAAAUAAGUGUUAUUACAUGUUUAAUGAUUCCCAUGGUAUGGUAGCUCUUGGAAUUAAUUAGGAAAAGAGAUCCAAGAAUCAUUUAGGUUUUGGAAUUAGGAUAAAACAUCCAUGUUUAUUAGGUAUUUGAAUAGCAUAUAAAGCAAAACGAAAUAAACAUUUUAGUUUACAGUUAUGUAUCAUAAGACAUUAUCUCUAAAAUAUAUGAAUAAUUAUUAAAUUAAAAUAAAUUAUUUAGAUAAAUAAUAUUAAUUUGAUUUAUUUAUUUUGAAGAUAUAUUAUCUUUUGAAAAGCUAAACUAAAUAAUAAAAAUUGACAAUUCUAGUGUAGUAGGUGUUGAUAUUUAAAAAAAAAAAAAAACAAAAUAAGUAAUGAUUAAAAAAAAUGUAAAAGAUAAGUAUUGAAGAAAUUAGUUGAAACAAAGGAGAAUUAUGUUUUCAGGUUAAUCGAGUUUGAUAAUUAACCCAACAUCCUUAUAAGUUGCAUAUUUGAUGGAAAUGAUAUGUAAUAUUAAGGGACAAAAAUACCCCUUUCAACCGCCACAUCUCUCACACACACAUAUUGUAAUUGUGUGUAUAUUUGCUCUAUGACUUGGAGGCUUCAACAUAAAUGAGUAAAAAUAAUAUUAAAAAAAGAAGUAUGUUAAUCCUGAUUUCUUUUCACCAACCCAAUUGCUAUUUAUUUCUAGAUUUAUUUUAGGUUGGGUGCAAAUGUGUUUUUCUUUUUUAUUCAUAUUUUCUUCACAACAAAAAAAUAAAAUAAAAUAAAUAUUAGAGAUUGUUUGUUAAGUUGGGUUCCACUAUUCUCUUAAUCAUGCAUUGAAGGACUUUGUAAUAUUAAUGGUCAUUUUAUCCCAACAUUUUUUAGGGAAUUUUGAUAUCACCCAAUGUUUGGGAUUGUUUUUCUCAACCUACCUUGUUAGGUCCUCAUUGAAGCAUACAAGUUUUGCAAAUGCCUCAUUUUAAUCACAAGCCAAUGUAGCAUUCACAAUGCUAUCUAUAAGCAACCAAACAUCUUCCUUGUCUUUCUUUCCUUCAUUGUUUUGCUUACUGAAGAAGCUAGUAAAAUUCUCCUUCAAAUGACGAUAACAAUAUUUAUGAUUUUUCAUCCUAAACAACUCUAAAACACUAUGCAAAAUCUAUUUAAUAUAAUGACAACAUCUUUACCAUUAAGAAUCCUCUUUUAACUUCUCCAAGAACCAAUACCAAUCUUCAUAAUUUUUUGAACUUACAACACUAACUUCUAGAGGAAACAUUCCAUCAUCUACAUCAUAUGCAAUGGUAGACAAAAGAGUUCCCUUAUAUGGGUCGCUAAGGUGGUAAGAAUUAAUGACUAAUAUCGGUUGACAUCCCAUGAUGAAUCCUUGAAUUGAAAACGCAUGGGUAAUAAACAAUUUCAUAAAGUGCCCUUCAUUUGAAGUAUACUUUGCAAGAGUCCUCAGGUUAAUUUUCAUUAGCCUUUGGCACAACCAAGGCAAAAAUAGGUAGGAGUCACGAGGAGCACCAUAAAUGUACUCAUUCACCUUUCCUUUAAAGUGUCAUGUUUGGUUAUAUGUCAAGACUACUCUAUGCUUACGUGCAAAAUCUUUGCAUAUUUGACAAAGAAAAUAAUCUAGAGUUGUUUUAGACACUUCUUCAACAACAAUGACAACCCUCUUUGAAUGAACCUCCACUUAAGAUGAACAAUCAUUUUGAGCGAAGUGAUUAUGAUUAACUUGGCAAGUAUGGACUCCCAAAAUUUCAUUCCCUGCUACAAUGUGAGUUGUUAUCUUCAAGGGCAACCCUCAAUCAAACACUUUACUAACAUAUGUUUUGGUGAAUUCUUCAUGUACUUGUAUUGAAACCUCUUACCUAAUGACAUCAAGUAUAUUGCAUUACGGAACUAUUCUUCAUUUUUAAAUGUAUGACCUAACCCUAGUAAUACAUUACAAUACCAAUUCAAUUCUAAAGACAUGUACUCAGUUUUAGCACAUCGUGAUGUAAAAACUCUUGAUUACAUCAUAACAUCACAUAACGCAUUACGUGAUGCACUUGAGGAAGGAAACAUGGUAGGUGGCGUAGUACACAAAUACAAGAAAUAUAUUUAAUUCAUGUAUAAAUUUGAUGUUUACAAUAUUUUGGUCGAGUAUUCAUGUGAAAGAGCAUUACCCAUAUGCCAACUAUGUUAAUGGAAACUCACUAGCACAAGAACAUUGUUAGUGCUUUACAAUAUGCAACGAAAGAUCUAAUAUAACAUUUAGUGUGAAUAAUGUGAGCUAAUUCAUGCAUAAUCCUCUUGAUACACAUUAGAAAUCUAUUAAUAGAAUCACAUUAUAGGUUGCUCUUGAGGAAAUCUAAAGACCUGAAUUUAAUUGGCUACUCUGAUGUUGAUUAAGUAUCAAAUGUUGAUCACAAAAGGUCAACUAAAGGAUUUUGCAUUUACUUGAAGAAUAAUUUGAACACUUGGCGCUUGAAAAAGCAACGCAUAGUGUCUCGAUCAAGUAGGAAGGUUGAGAAUUGUAGUCUAGUGGUGUUGUAUGAUUUGGCUACAGUCAUUACUCAAGGAACUCACAAUUGAUCUAAGGUUACUACCAUCUUGUGUGACAAUUUGAUCUAGUCUACAAACCCAAUCCUUUACUCUCAGGCAAGGGUUGAACUUAUAUUGCGUUGAGAAAAAGUAAUUCAAAGUCCACUCAUAGUUCAACAUAUCUAGCAAUAGAUCAAGCAGCAGAUAUUUUUAUGAAAACAAUCUAAGCAACUUAUUUUCAAAGGCUGCUUGGCAAAAUGAAUAUUGUCCACUCACCUAUACAGUCAUUUUGUGGGUGGCAUAUUAAGGAAUCUAAUGACUCUGUUAAUGAAAACCUAAUAUAAGAAGCAAUGAUGGAGGCACGUGUCCAUGAUUAACUAUACAUCUUUGUUUUUCUCAAUGAAUAAUAUCAUGUCUGAAAACCAAAUGUUAUAGAACAUUUCCUUUGUUCUUUCCUUUCUUUUCCAGCAAUUUUUAUGGAACAUUUUAUUUUGUUCUUUCCUUUAUUUUCUGGCUGUAGUUACCCUUUUAUAAUUUUGUUGGUUGCUCACCUUUUAUAUGAAGAACUAUUGUAAUCCCUUCAAUGGAGGAAUGAAAAGAAACUUUCCAAAUAAUCCGUUUUCUAAUUUACUGCAUGUGAUUGCAUUCAAAUUUGUAGUGUCUAUUUCUAACUGAAGAAUGGCAAAACCUAAUUCUCCACAGCUGGAUUUGAAUUUGAAUUGUAGUCGUGGGAACUCGAGAAUAUUUCUUGGGAUUGUAGUCCUGGGAUUUUAAAGCCAAAUCCACCGAAAACACAUUGGAAUUAUGGCCGCCUAUGAUCCUAUCCUAAACACCAGGGUCCCAUUCAAUUAUAUGACCUCUAUCAGCUAAUGCUUCUCUAGCCUACUGAUUAGAGGAACCAUAUAAUUUGAUUGUGUUUGAAUAUGAAACCUCACUCAACGUCAUUUAAUUAAUCAAAUCAAUAUAUGAUCAGUCAUUAAUAAACUGUACAGAAUUGUAUUUCCAGUAGUCCUAAGUUUAGAAUGGCAAAGUCAUGUAACUUCAUUCAUGGGCAAAAAAAUUUGAUAAAAGAUUCAGAGUUCAAAGAUUGCCCAGACAUACCUUCGAUCCAGUGUCAUUCAAAGAGCUUUUGGGACACUGAUGAAAAGAUAAAUAGAGGUCCCAACGGUGAAAGAACUUAAGAAUGUAAUUAUCUUUGCCAAGAAAUAUACUAUGAUGGGUCAUGAACCCAUGGAAAAUCUGUGACAUGCAUAUUUGAUCCGUUUACAUUACCAUGGAAGUAUUUAGAAAGAGCUCAACAUGGGUUGCUGAUUUACCAGCCAUUGAUGAACUAACAGCUACGGCCUGAAUUACAUGCGCUAUAAGAAAGAACUUUAAUCAAUAGCUAAUCUAUUAACGUGGUAAAAUUAUUAAUAAUGCGGGCUUGUAUAAUAUGCACACAUAUCGUCACUGAUUGCAGUUUUGCCUCCUAACGUUUUUAUACCUGAAGUAUUGUUUUCCUUUUAUGACUGAAGAUGUACAUGACAUGCACUGGGCUUUCAGGCAUUCAUGCUUUGUUCUUUGAUGAGUAUCAACAAGAUUAUUAAUAGUUCAUAAAAAUUCUCAACAUUAAUUUACCACGAGCAUGUCCUUUUCCCUGAAAAACACACAUGAACACAUGCAGAGGCGAGCUGAAGAAUUCAGAUCUUUUAGUUCAGUUAGGACUUCAACUGAUCCUGAAACUCAUGGGAUACCAUGGAGGGUGUUUUCUAGCUGGGAGUUCCGCCUUUCUCUCUUCUGAUUAGACCAUAUGUAUUCGGAAUAUGGCCAUAAUUCUCACAUGGGCAAGCAUUAUUGGCGGUGGAUCAAUGCCAGCUAUCACAUCUCUAACCUAACUUAUCAUCACAUGACUAAUUAAGUGGUUAUGAAGUGAAUUAGGUUGCUUGCAGGCCAUGUGAUUUUGUCUAAUAUUAGGAAAUUCAUCUGUUAAGGCUAUCCCCACAUUGAUCCACUGGCUGUGACACCCAACAGUGAAGGAAACAUGUGGCCCCUUCAUGGUUAUUGAUUUGUCUGAUCUGUUUUACAUUUUGAUCAUCCAUGUCCCCACUGCUUGACUUGGCUCAGGAUUAAAUCAUAUCUUCCGAGGUGAAAUAGCCUGCCGUACCCAUUUUUUAAAGCGGCAAAUUAGCUAGAUUAGGCAGAAAAAAAAAGGUCUUGCUUGCUAUUAUGAUGUCAUUCUGUUGAAUAUAAUAGCCCAUAUGGUAGAUAGAGAAGAAAAAAAUGUUUAUUAAUUCCUGAUCAAAUUUGUAUUGAUAGCUUACCAAUAAUUGAGUCAUUUUAAAUGUUUUCCCAAAUUGUGCUUACUUCAUGUAUUGAUGAUUUUUGACUUCUCAUGCCCAUACAUUUUACUUUUGUGUAUCGAAUUUGAAAUUAGGCCAAAAUACUGUAACCACUCAAUCAAGGAUGUGGACAAGCUUGUACCAAUACCCACGUAACACUGCUUAAUCCAAUGAUCUGAAAACUUAUUCAUCUCCCCCGCCCUUACCUUGUGGAAAUUUUCUUGUGUUAGGUCUGAGGUGCUUUUCUUAUGCUAUUCUCAUGGAAUAGGAUACUGGGGAUACAAAUUAUUCCAGAUUCAGUAGUUUCGUAGCUCCAUUUCCCUACAUUAAUAUAAACCUGAGGUCAAAAUGGGUGACUCAAGCAUUUUGUCAACAUUACAAAUAGAAAGAGAUUUGGUAAUCUAGAUAGUUAGCAACAAAUUUAUUCUAAUGAGGGCUGUGAGCAAAAUAGAUUAUUUUAUCUCCUUAUUUUAUGCUUCGGAACCUUGCUUUUAUAGGUGGCCAAGAUG